GGUAAUUUACUCCCAGCUAUAACACAUGUAAAUUUGAGUCAUCAACUUUAACCACUGACUCUGUCUGUGGAUGCUAUGUAUCGUGAGGGAAACAGGUGGUAGAAAAGGAUUUAGCCUGCUCACUUGGAAGGUGGAGAAAUACGUGAAAGAUAAGGCCAAUCCUUUCAUUGUACUGUCCUAUUACAGUCAUGAUGGAGAAGAAGGAUUCCCUGGAAAUCUCCUGGUUAGAGUGACCUAUGCUCUACUUGAACCAUACAAACUGAGCGUAAUAAUGGAAGCGGAAGCCCUGAACAAGGCUACUCCUGUGAAUCUAGCACAACACAGUUACUGGAAUCUUGGAGGCCAUAACAGUGGUGAUGUCCUCUCGGAUACAGUCCAAAUAUUCGGCUUACACUACACGCCUGCGAACAACCAGCUCAUCCCGACUGGAGAAAUCUUACCUGUUAAAGGAACCCCGUACGAUUUCUUGAAGCCCCACAAAAUUCAAAGCCAGAUGAAAGGACUUCCGAGGGGCGGAGCUCCAUCUGGUUAUAAUGUGAAUUAUGCCCUUGAUGAAGGCAAGGACCAAAAGCUGAAGCUCGCAGCAAUUGCGUACAGUAAGAAGACUGGUAUUGGGAUGAGGAUAUCAACAAGUGCUCCAGGUCUGCAGUUUUACACGGCUAAUUACUUGAACAAUGUGACAGGAAAAGGUGGAUAUGUUUAUCAGUCACAUGCAGCAUACUGUUUUGAGACUCAAGGAUUCCCUGAUGCAGUGAACCAUCCAAAUUUUCCCUCAACAAUCGUUAAUCCAGGAGAUCUUUAUGUGCACUACAUGUUGGUUGAAUUCAAAAUCAAACAAAAAUAAGAGCUCGACUAAUGUACACUGCACCCGAAGAGCAAUUGAAGCUGCCCUGAUUUGAAUCAGCAAAUAAAUGAGACACAUUUUCAUGUUAAACACUGCUCUGUUACUUUAACCAUUACCUAACCUGUCGAUGGAUUCUAUCAAACAUAUAAUAUUUAGAUAUCUGCAUUCAUUCAGCAUACCUUAGAAUUAAACAGAUGCUAUUAGCAAUUUAGGAAUUCCAAUGGCUCCUCAAGAGGAAUUAGGAUAUAUGGAAGAAUCUCUAAUUUCACAGAGUAUUGAAAGGAUUGGAAAGAAGGAAUAGUAGUUCCAAUAGACUAGCGGCCUGAUAAAUCCAUGGAGUCCAUCCAAUGGGCAUUUGCACAGACCUUUCAGUGAAAAGGCCUUCAUUUUCCACUUUCUAGCAUACUAUUGUGAUGUUCUGGAUUCUGGGUCUACCAACAUUCCUUUAAUGAAACUGUCCAAUGUGUCUUUAGGAUUCUUUAUUACAGUAGUUGCCAUAGUUUUCCUUAGUAAUUUUAUCAUUUUCCUAUUCUCUAGUUGCUUCAUGUAUUGUUUUUUACUCUUAAAGCGGCUUCAUCUGGCUUGGAAAUUCAGAGCAGUUUAGUGGAUCAUGUUGUCUCGGAUAUUUCCGCGGAGGAACUUGCCAUUUCACAAAAAAUGUAGUGCCAAAAAGUCCCUCGAAGGAUGUCAGGAAUAGGGACUCAAUUGCAAUUGGACUAGAAGUUGGAGGGGCAUUAGUGUAAAUUGGUGUUGGAGCCAAAAUUGUUAAAAGUUAGUUAUAACCGUCUGCUGAAGGAGUUAGUUAGUCAUUUCCAUUUCUGUACAAGCAAGAUUCUGAUUCAUCAUUGGGGGGGGGGGGUAGGGUAUAAAUCGAAGCCAGUGUAAUGGAUUUGGACACGAAAAAUAUUACCAUUGAUUCCUUCCCAAUUCUUUCUCUCUCUUUCUCCCUCUUUCUCUCUGCCUCUCUUCUCUGCCUUUCCCUCUCAUUUCUUCUUCUUGUUCAUUCAAACCUUUCCCACGCCUGCUGGUCUCAACCUUUCCUUCAUCCUAUUGCUGAGAGCCUGACAAAUUGGUAUCAGAGUUGACCGAUCCUUGGCUAGCUCCUGAAAUCCAAAUGGCAGAAAGUACUCGAUUCAAAACACUGGAGGAUCAUCUCAAGAAGCAAGAACAGAAGCUGCAGGAACUAAUAGAUGAUGUCAGAAGUAUUCAGUAGCAAGUGAAAAAGGAAAUGAUAGGAAGAGAUCAACGUAUGGAUUCGAUUGUGAUUGGAAUGGAGCAGAAGUUCGAAGCACUCAGUUCGAUGAUGCAGACACUGCUGAUCAAGGAAAAGAGUACAGGUGAUGAGGCUAAGAUGGGGAGAGAUCGAACACCAUUACUGCCAACACCACCUAGUCAUCAGAGAUUAGAUCUGGAAGCAGAUACUGAGGCAAAGGAUUGUGAAUUUUUGGGAAAGAUCUCUGGCCACUCCCUUCCUAAGCUUGAAUUGCACAUGUUCAGUGGAGAGAAUCCAUGUGAGUGGAUCAGGAAAUGCAACAAAUAUUUCAUGUUGCAUAGAAUCCAGGAAGACCAUAAGCUACUGGUAGUGGAGAUGUUUUUGGAAGGGAAGGUUGAUAUGUGGUUUCAGGGAGUCAAGUUGGAGAAACAGCGGUUGUCAUGGAGAGAAUUUGAGGAAUUGCUUUGUCAGAGGUUCAAGGGGACCUGUUGUAGGGAUAUUGUGGAGGAAUUCAACAAAUUGCAGCAGACUAGUACAGUGGAGGCCUAUCAGGAGAAGUUUGAAGAACUGAAGACACUGAUGCUGAUCCAAAAUCCCAACCUGAGUGAAGAAUACUUCAUUUCCAGCUUUACCAGUGGCCUUAGGGAAGAAAUUAAACCUAUGGUGCGAAUGCUCAGGCCAAACACCCUCUCUGGAGUUGUAGAGAUAGCCCAUCUGCAAGAGCAAGCCCUUAAAUUGCAAGGGAGGACAGUGAAGGCGGGUAACAAGGUAAUGGCUGAACCAAGGUAUGGAAUUUACAGACAUCCUACAGCUAUGAAUGGUGGAGUCAGCACUUAUAAAUUACCUCAGACCAACGCACCAAAACUAGAGACUAAGAAACCUGAAUUUAAGAGGUUAUCCCCACAAGAAGUGCAGUAUAGAAGGAACAAUGGCUUGUGCUUUAAGUGUGGAGAAAAGUUUGGAGUUGGACAUCAAUGUAGGAUGAAGCACUUGAAUUUCAUGUUGUAUGAGGAAGAGGAGGAUACAGAAUUCCAAGAUGUGUUAGGGGAACAGGAUGAAUUGACUGGAAAUCCAGGGAAAUCAGUAGAGGUAUCUCUCAAUGCACUCUCAGAUUCUCUCAGGCGAAACACAAUCCUGUUGCAAGGGCAAUUAGCAGGGAGAAAUGUAAAAAUCUUGGUAGAUACUGGGAGCAGUGAUAGUUACAUCCACCACAAACUUGUAUCUGCACUAAAAAUUUCGCUUGAGCAUGUUAAACCAUUCACAGUCACCAUGGGAGAUGGGAGUUUGGUGACCAGUGGGGCUCAGUGCCCACAAGUCUUAUGGAAUAUCCAGAAUUAUAGGUUCAGUUUUGACCUCAUGAUUAUGGAAUUGGGGAACUGGGAUCUCAUCGUAGGGGUAGACUGGAUGUGUGUUGUGACUGUCCUGACUAGGAACGAAGGGGGAGAUACAGAAGGAAAAAGGGGAAAGAGAGACUUGGGAGAGAAGAUAGAGAAUACAGAGGAGAAAAGGAAUUGAAUUUGGUUGUAUCUUAUUGCCUGCCUUGCAUCUCACCCUUAGGUGUAUUUAUACAGGUUCCAUUCUUUAGAUCCUUCCGUAGCUAUAACAGAAUGCUCAACAGAAAAGAUCCUGCAUACCUGUAUGCCAUGCAGUAACGAUUCAACUAACUCAUCUGAUAUGCCAACUAACUUCUAAAAAAGGAAAUCAUGCCCUCUACAUUCUCUGCUGCAAAUAUCUAGGGAAAUAUCUAACUAUCUAGAGAAAAUAUCUAGGAUCAUUACAAUACCUCCCCCUCAAGAAUCCUAGUCACUAGGAUUGAGUUGGAAAUCUGGAAACUGUGAUCGUAUCACAGUGAUAUCCUCCCAAGUUGCAUCUUCAGCGCCUAGGUUCAACCACUUGAUCAGCACCUGAGUCACCUUCUGCCUCUUUCGUAUGAUAUCAUGAGUAGCGAUAACACUCUCAGGGGCAAUUUUAAUCUGUCCAUCUGUGGUAGUUAAGGGCAGCUCCUGAGUCACCGCAUGAUCUUUGGCUGAGGCCUUGAGCAGGGAGACAUGGAAGGUAGGGUGGAUCAAGGAACCAGCAGGUAACUCCAACCUAUAAGCCAUAUUACCUACCCUCUGAAGAAUCUUGUAAGGGCCAUAAUAUUUGGGAGAUAAUUUCAGAUUCUUUCUGACUGCCACAGACGUUUGUCUAUAAGGUUGCAGCUUCAAGUAGACACAAUCUCCAACUUGGAAACUUCUUUCACUCCUGUUUUUGUCAGCAAACUGCUUCAUUCGAUUCUGAGCUUUGAUUAAAUUUUCCUUCAGCAGCUCAUUCCAAUUCCUCCUGUCCCCUAGCCAUUGCUCCACUGCAGCCACUGGGGUCUCCAAGGCAUUGAUACCCAACUGAGAUGGUGGAUAAUCAUAUAGUGCUUGGAAGGGAGUCAUUUUUAAGGCUGUGUGAUGGUUGGUAUUGUACCACCAUUCUGCAGCAGCUAACAAGGACUUCCAUUUGUGAGGUUGCUGGAAACACAAGCACCUCACGUAUGUCUCCACACACCUGUUCAAUCUUUCUGUCUGCCCAUCUGUCUGGGGAUGGUAGGUAGUAGAGUAAUGCAGCUCAGUGCCUAGUUUCCCAAACAACUCCUGCUAGAAUAGGCUAGUAAACAGCCUAUCCCUAUUAGAUACAAUGCUUAGUGGCAAUCCAUGCAACUUAUAGAUGUUAUCAAAAUAUAUGUUAGCCACAGACUGUGCUGUAUACUUGGGUGGUAGUGCUAGGAGGUGGCAAUACUUAGUAAACCUGUCGAUGACAACUAGCAUUCCUUCAUAUCCUUGGAAUUUAGGUAACCCUUCAAUGAAAUUCAUUGAGAUGUGCUGCCAUGCUUGUUCAGGAAUAGGUAGAGGCUGUAGCAAUCCUGGUGUCUUGCAAUUUUCUACCUUGCUCCUCUUAUAAACAUCACACUGCUGUACCCAUUUUUCUACUUCUCUCUUCAUUCCUGGCCAGAAGAAGGGACCCUUCAAUCUUUGAUAGGUUCCCAGGUUGCCUGAGUGACCCCCAAUAUGAGAGUCAUAAAAGCAGGAUAUCAGUUUCUGUCUCAAGUUUCCUGAGAAACUAACGUACACCCUGCCCUUAUACCUGAGUAAUUUCCCCAGUAAAAGACUAAUUUGGAAAGGAAUCAGGUGUUGUAGUCAGGCCUCCAGUCAACUUAGUCACAUUAUCAUCCCCGUUGUAACUCUCCAGGACCUCAGACAGCUAUGCAGGUUUCAUGACUGAGAUGCUGUGUAUAGAAAUGUCCUCUUCAUAGCCUCUUCUGGAUAGUGCAUCAGCUACCAAGUUCUCAUUUCCCUUCUUAUACUGUAUUUCGUAAUCCAGCCCUAACAACUUAGUGAGCCAUUUUUGCUGUAGGGGAGUGGUUAUCUUCUGCUCUAGUAGGUACUUUAAGCUCUAGUGAUCUGUCUUUAUGAUGAAAUGGCUUCCUAACAGGUAAUGUCUCCACUUGGAAACAGCUAUAAUAAGGGACAACAACUCCUUCUUGUAUAUGGACAGUCCCAGGUUCUUAGGUCCCAGAGCUUGACUGAGAUAGGCAAUAGGCCUUCCCUGCUGCAUUACGACUGCACCAAUUGCCUUACGACUAGCAUCUGUUUCCAGAACAAAAGGUAAAGAAAAAUUAGGAAGUGUUAGGACUGGUGUACUGCUCAUUAGCUGCUUCAGUUUUUGAAAAGCUAGCUCAGCCUGUUCAUUCCAGUGGAAGUUUUCCUUCUUCAAUAGUUCAGUAAGUGGCUUGGCAAUAAGUCCAUAUCCCCUCACAAACCUCCUGUAGUACCCCGUCAGUCCUAAAAAACCUCUCAAUGCUUUCACUGAUAUAGGGGUAGGCCAAUCCAUCAUGCUUUUGAUUUUUGAGGGAUCUGCCUGCACUCCAUCUCCACUGAUAACAUGUCCCAAAUAUUCUACUUGAGACUGUUCAAAGAUGCAUUUGGAAAGCUUGGCAAAAAGAGAGUGAGCUUUGAGUGUUUCUAGGACAGUUUUGAGGUGCAAAAGAUGAGUGUCUGGAUCUAGGCUGUAUACAAGGAUGUCAUCAAAGAAUACUAACACAAACUUCCUCAGGUAAGGUUCAAAGACAUGGUUCAUCAGGUUUUGAAAGGUUACGGGUACAUUAGUAAGACCAAAGGGCAUAACAGUGAACUCAUACAAUCCAAGGUGAGUUUUGAAAGCCGUUUUUGGAAUGUCAGCAGGGAACAUUCUGAUCUGAUGGUAUCCAGCUCUUAGAUCUAUUUUAGAAAAGAGCUUGGCUCCAUACAAUUCAUCAAGUAAAUCAUCAAUGAUAGGUAUUGGAAAUUUAUCCUUGAUAGUCAAGUCAUUUAGUUGUCUGUAAUCAACACAAAAUCUCCAAAUUCCAUCUUUUUUUUAACUAAUAGAACUGGAGAGGCAAACGGGCUAUGGCUAAGAUGGAUAAUACCACUAUUGAGCAUGUCCCUUACUUGUCUUUCUAUUUCAUUUUUUUGGUUGUGAGGGUACCUAUAAGGUGCUAUCUUGAAAGGUUUGGCAUUAGGUACUAGGGGAAUUUGAUGGUCAUAGUUUCUGGAAGGGGGAAGGGACUGUGGUUCUCCAAAUACGACUUUGUAGUCUUCAAGUAGAGUACCUAGGGAUUGUUGAAAAUUAGUGUCCAGCUAAGUGACAGUGUUUACCUGAGUCUCAUUCAUUCUCAGUCCACAUGCAUGCUUCCAAAUUCUGGUACUCCAUCCCUUCUUCUCAGCCUUAUCACUAGGAAGUUUGAGAACAGUCUCCUUAGAUUCUCCAUGCAAAAGAAUCCUCUCCCCUUUCUCAUCAAAGGACAUGUUCGGCUGCUUGAAGUCAAAGGUGAUGGGGCUGUGUGCAGCCAUCCAGUCUACCCCUAUGAUCACAUCAUACGGCUCCAGGUUAAUGACAAAUAUAUCAUGAGUGAACUGUUUACCUUGCAUUUUCCAGCUCAUGUUUGGAAUCAUCUUGUCGCAGGUCAAGUACUCCCCAUUGGCCACCCUGACCCUGAAAGGCUUGAUAGACUAGACCAGCUCUGGGUGGAGUUGUGCCACAGAAUCUUUGACAAAACUAUGAGUGCUUCCUCCAUCGACCAGGAUUGAUAGUGGAGUUCCUUUGAACCUCCCUUGCAGCUUGAUGGUGUUGUAAGUCAUUUUCCCAGUUAAUGCAUGUAUCUCCAUUUCUACACCCUUGGCCGAUUGUGCUCCUUUAUACUCGAUCAUCUCCCCUUCCACCAAAUCAUCAGGACUGUCUUCUAUUGCUACAUUCAGAUGGAUUUCAUUCUGCUUACAUUGGUAGCCUGGACCAAACUUCUCCCCACACUUAUAGCAAAGAUGGUGCUCUCUCCUGUACUGCAGCUCUGCUGGUGUGAUUUUCCUGAAGUUUUGAGGAUUCUGUUUCUUGAUAGCAUUGGCAAUAGCAGGCUUGGUAUGAGGCGCGGUAUACUGAGCAACAGUCUAUGUAGUACUCCCUGAAAAAAGGGAUUUUUGGAGAGGUUUGUGCUUCUUGUGGUAAGCUUCAAAGGCAUUCUUUUGCAAUCUGGCCAGCUCAAAUGCUUUGGAUAAAGUCUUAGGGUCGUGAGUCUUCACCAUUGAUCUUAGCUCAUCUGGUAGUCCACUUAAAAAACAUGAAAUGUAAUAAUUUUCUGGAAGGAGAGGUGCUCGACUCAUUACCUCAGAGAGUAGCUCCUCAAAUUUUUCCUGGUAAGCUAGGACUGUGGUGGAGAGCUGCAAUUUAUUGAAUUCCUCCACUGGAUCCAUUUGCCCCAAUGUUCCAAAAUGCUUGCACAAUUCUCCCGAAAACUCCAUCCAAUCCACCUUGUUACCUCUAGUAGACUUGAAGCCUUGAUACCACACCUCUGCUUUACCUUCUAAAUGGAAUUCUGUUAGCUCCAUCCACUGCUCUGAUGGAAUGUGUAGAAACUGGAAAUACCUCUGAAGUUUUCUAAUCCAUUCUCUGGGAUUGUCUCCUUUGAACGCUGGAAUUUCCAAUUUAGGUGCGCUAGCAUGGAAGGUACUCUUGACAUUCCUCUCUCCUUGCUCUCGAGUCCCCAUGUCUGAGCUCCUGGAGUGACUUCCCUCUGGAGAGCCCAAUAUUCCUUUCUCAGAAUUCCCUCGAUUCACACUGGAGAGCUGCUGAGAAAUGGCCACCAUGAAUGCAUCUAAUUUAUUGCUCAGCUCCACGCUUAUUGCAUCCAACCUAUCUUCCAUAAUUUGUUUGUCUGUUGCAUUGGAUUCCAGAAUUCCUUGGAGUCUGCUGUCUUGCCUGCGUAGCUGUUCUUCCAUGGUCUUCAUUCGAGUUCCAUCUGCCAUUGAGUUAUAGUGAUUUCAGCUUCCUAGUCCAAGGACCGAAAGCUCUGAUACCACUGUUGUGACUGUCCUGACAAGGAACGAAGGUGGAGAUACAGAAGGAAAAAGGGGAAAGAGAGACUUGGGAGAGAAGAUAGAGAAUACAGAGGAGAAAAGGAAUUGAAUUUGGUUGUAUCUUAUUGCUUGCCUUGUAUCUCACCCUUAGGCGUAUUUAUACAGGUUCCAUUCUCUAGAUCCUUCCGUAGCUAUAACAGAAUGCUCAACAGAAAAGAUCCUGCAUGCCUGCAUGCUAUGGAGUAACGAACUAACUAACUCAUUUGAUAUGCCAACUAACUUCUAAAAAAGGAAAUCAUGCCCUCUACAUUCUCUGCUGCAAAUAUCUAGGGAAAUAUCUAACUAUCUAGAGAAAAUAUCUAGGAUCAUUACAAUGUGUAACUAUAGCCCUAUCACUUUUGACUUUCACCAGCUUAAAAUAUCCAUGUGCCACUAGGGAGAGGUUGUCACCUUGCAUGGGGCAGUGAGUGAUGCAACAAUGGAGUUGGUUAGGAGGAAGGACCUCAGAGGAUUUUUGCAAGCCAAGAGGAGGUGUUGUGCUACUUCUGCACAGAUAGGCAAUGUAACUGUAAAAGGAAUACCAGGGUCAAUCACAGCACUAUUGGACAAGUUUCCAGAGGUUUUCCAAGAGCCUACUCAACUACCACCAAACAGGAGUUUGGAUCACCAGAUUCCUGUCCAACCUGGAGCACAGGCAAUCAAAAUGAAACCUUAUAGGUAUCCCCACUCGCAGAAAACAGAAAUUGAGAGACAGAUAGCUGAUAUGUUGAGUUCUGGAAUCAUUAAGCCAAGUAACAGCCCUUAUGCCUCCCCAGUACUACUAGUCAAGAAGAAGGAUAACACUUGGCGUUUCUGCGUGGACUAUAGACACUUAAAUGACUAGACCAUCAAAGACAGAUACCUUAUACCCAACAUUGAGGAACUCUUGGAUGAACUGCAUGGGACCAGAUUCUUUUCAAAAAUUGAUCUCAGGUCAGGAUACCAUCAGAUUAGAGUGAAAUUGGAGGACACACACAAGACUGUCUUUCAAACUCACCAAGGCCAUUAUGAAUUCUUAGUAAUGCCUUUCGGAUUAACAAAUGCACCUGCAACAUUUCAAGCCCUGAUGAACCAGGUGUUUGAGCCUUUUCUGAGGAAGUUUGUCUUGGUGUUCUUUGAUGACAUACUGAUCUAUAGCACUAGUUUGGAACUCCAUCAGGAACACCUGCAACAGGUGUUGGAAGUGCUCAGGAAUCACCAACUAUAUGCCAAGCUCUCUAAGUGUUCCUUUGCUCAGCAAGAGGUAGAGUAUCUGGGUUAUGUGGUCUCUAAUAGAAGGGUACAUAUGGACAUAAACAAGGUGGAUUGUAUUUUGUCCUGGCCUUCCCCUAAGUCUGUGAAAGAACUUAGAGGAUUUUUGGGACUCACAGGGUACUACAGACGUUUUAUUAAGGGAUAUGGAGCAAUCAGCAAACCCCUAACCAAUUUACUCAAGAAGGAUGCCUACAAUUGGAGCACAGAGGCACAAGAGGCCUUUAACCAGCUUAAGAAAGCCAUCAGUAGUGCACCGGUGCUAAGGCUCCCUAACUUUGACAUUCCUUUUGUAGUGAAAACUGAUGCCAGUGGUCAGGGCAUGGGAGCUGUACUACUGCAGGAAGGACAUCCCAUAGCUUUUGUCAGUAAAGCAUUUUCUCUUAAGAAUAUGGGAUUGUCUGUUUAUGAGAAAGAACUAAUGGCAUUGGUUUUGCAGUCACCAAGUGGAAACACUAUCUGGUAGGGAACCACUUCAUUAUCAAGACAGAUCAUAAGUCACUUAAGUUUUUGUUAGAACGGAGAUUAACUACCACUGCACAGUACAAAUGGCUAACCAAGUUGCUGGGCUUGGUUUAUGAGAUUCAAUAUAAGAAGGGCUCUGAGAACACAGUUGCUGAUGUAUUGUCUAGAAGAGUUACCCCUGACUACUUGUCUGAGCAGCAACAACUCAUGGCAAUAACCACAGCUCAGCCUGUAUGGAUGCAAGAACUGUAGGAUAGUUACUUUGCAGACCAACAGUGCCAGAACCUACUGAGUCAGCUACUACUGGACCUUGAACCACAGAAUUCUGAUUUCAGACUCAACCAGGGGGUACUCAAGUAUAAAAGGAGGUUGUAUGUGGGAGAUAGUCAGGAGAUUAAACAGAAGAUAAUCAAAACCAUGCAUGAGUCCCCUAUUAGAGGUCAUUCUGGCCAAAGAGCCUGUGCUCAAAGACUGCAGAGCAUGUUUUAUUGGCUCGGGAUGAAGAGGGACAUUAUUUAUUUUGUGCAGGGAUGUGAGGUGUGCCAGAGGAACAAGAGUGAGCAUGUGCCUUAUCCUGGGCUGUUGCAGCCUCUUCCUAUACCAACUUAGGCUUGGUCACACAUCACCAUGGAUUUCAUAGAGAAGUUACCUAGUUCCAAAGGCUUUGAUACCAUUUUGGUGGUCAUAGACAGACUGACAAAAUUUGGUCACGUUAUAGCCCUUUCACAUCCCUUCUUAGCAGCACAAGUGGCUCAAGUUUUCUUGGACCAUAUCUAUAAGCUACACGGUCUGCCUGAAUCUAUUGUAACAGAUAGAGACAGAAUUUUUACUAGUAAAUUCUGGCAAGAGCUGUUCAAGUUGGCUGGAACUGAGCUACACUAUAGCUCUUCUUACCAUCCUGAGACAGAUGGUCAGAGUGAGAGGCUUAAUCAGUGCCUGGAGGCUUACUUGAGGUGUAUGACAGGUGAAAAUCCAACUCAAUGGAGUCACUGGUUAAGCCUGGCAGAACUUUGGUACAAUACUUCCUACCACACUAGCCUAGGAGCUACCCCAUUUGAGGCUCUCUAUGGCUAUAAGCCACUGUCCCUACCUAUGGGACCUUACUAAGACACUGUGAUACCAGCAGCCACCAAUAUGCUGCAAACUAGAGCUCAAAUGCUGCAGAGGAUUAAGGAGCAUCUGCACCAAGAUGAAGGUGUUUGCUGACAAACACAGGACAGAAAGGCAGUUUGUAGUAGGGGAUUGGGUUUUUCUCAAGUUGCAGCCAUAUCGCCAACAAUCUAUAGCAAUCAGGAAGAGUUUGAAGUUCGCUGCAAAAUUUUAUGGACCUUUUCAAAUCAUAGAGAAGAUCAGUGCUGUGGCUUACAAGCUCCAACUACCAGCAGGAGCCGAAAUCCACCCAGUGUUCCAUGUCUCCCUUCUUAAACCAAAAUUGGGGCCACAUCAAGCUACUAAUCCUAUGCUUCCAGAACUUGACCACCAAGAUCAAUGCUUAUUGCAGCCUGCUGCCAUUCUACAAAGGAGGGUCAUCAUGCAGAAUGGUGCUCCUGUUAUCCAAUACCUCAUCAAGUGGCAUCAACUGGGAGAAGAAGAAGCAUCAUGGGAAGAUCAAUCCUUUAUCAAUAGCCAAUUUCCAAAUUUCCAGCCUUGAGGACAAGGCUGCCUUUAAGGAGAGGGUAUUGUCAGGAAUAGGGACUCAAUUGCAAUUGGACUAGAAGUUGGAGGGGCAUUAGUGUAAAUUGGCAUUGGAGCCAAAAUUGUUAAAAGUUAGUUAUAACCGUCUGCUGAAGGAGUUAGUUAGUCAUUUCCAUUUCUGUACCAGCAAGAUUCUGAUUCAUUAUUGGGGAGGUAUAAAUCGAAGCCAGUGUAAUGGAUUUGGACAAACGAAAAAUAUUACCAUUGAUUCCUUCCCAAUUCUCUCUCUCUCUUUCUCCCUCUUUCUCUCUGCCUCUCUCCUCUGCCUUUCCCUCUCAUUUCUUCUUCUUGUUCAUUCAAACCUUUCCCACGCCUGCUAGUCUCAACCUUUCCUUCAUCCUAUUGCUGAGAGCCUGACAAAGGACCAAUCCUAGGCCGAAUCAGUUGAGGACCCUGGGCCUGAUCCUAUACAGGAUAGCCCCGGAUGGUCCUCCUUGUGCCUAGCUGGGUGGGCUCUACAACUACAAGAGCACCAAGCCAGAUGUUGGACUGGCUCUACGUUCGCCACUAACAUCUUUUAGUAUUUUUAAAGAUUUUUUGCUGUUUUAUUUCUUUAAAUAUUCUUACUGCUCUUAAUUUGCCGAUAUUGUCCUGGAUUAACUUUUUAUACACUAAUGGUAUAAUGGUUUUUUUACACUAGUAACUUUAGAUGUAUAUCAUAUAUAUAUGAUUUAAAUUUCAAAUUUGAAUUUAUAUUAUGUGACAUAAUCCAAACGUACUAAUGUAAAAGAAAAAUUAUACACUGAAAGUAUAUAAAAAAAAAUUAUCCAUAUUCUUCUUUGUGAAAAUGCUAUCCAUUUCACCACUACUUUGAUUGAUACAAUCAAUUAGGAUGCAUUUGAUAAAAUUGAAGUCUAAAAAUUUGAAAUCUGAAAUCUGAAUCCAUUAAGUUAUUGAAUAGUUAAGUAUUAAAUUUGAUACAUUUGAAUAUAUAUCAUAUUAAGUAACAAGUGAAUAACUUAUCACUCAUUUUUGGGACUAAGUUUUGCUUAGAAAAUUCAAUAUCAUAUAAUUAAUUCAGAUGUUCUAUUUUUUAUUAUCAAGUGCAACUGAAUAUAUUAAAAUCUGAAUCCAUUAAGUUUAAGUGCUGAAUUGAAUUAUCAAACAGGGCUUAGUCAAUUUUGUGUUGUUAAAAAGCAAUUUAGCUAAGUUAUACACAAAUACCAUAAUUGUUUGGUUAUGGUUCCUUUUCUAGUAUAGGAAAGUCGUUUUGACCAUUAAUUUUUAGUUAAAUGUUUUGUCUAUUAUGUUGACAUGGAGGUCCUUCUUUUAAUGUUGAAAAGUACUCCUACUUCAUGAAUACGAAAAAUAUUAAUUAUAGGGUAAAUUACUAGUAAUCUCCCUAUGAUUUUGCAUAUUAUCACAUAACUUCUCAAAUUUAUUCGUGUGGUUUUAUGUAAAAUGGUAAACAGCCUCUUUAACAUCUUUAGUUAAAUGCAAACCUUUAAUUAAAUACUAAAUAAAAUGAGGAUUUGACCAGCAUGUAUGACUAUGUUAAUAUAUGUAAAAUUGCAAGAGGUUAAGUGAAUAUUUAUGCAAAUUUAUAGGAGAGCUAAGUGGACACUAUAAUUCCAUCACAUUCAUUUUUGAGCGGGUCUAGGUCAAUAUUAAUCAGAUAUACCUUCGAUUCAUUUUUCACUUUAUAUAAAAUUUUGGACAGUUACGUGAAUAUUUUAAAAUGUUAGCGAGUCAUAUGGCAAGUGAUUUAGUAUCUAUCAUAGUAGCUGCUACUUAUUUGGUUGGUUGUAUGUCCAUGGCAUAAUGCUACAUGUCUCAAAACACCUGUUCGAUAUCGCUUUAGAUAGAACAAUGAUAUAGAUGUAUAAACUUCUGUCUGGGCAUGCAAUCUUACAUCCCAUGUUUCUAUCAUUUUCGCUAACAAAUUGUUCAGUAGGCCAAUUUUCUUUCUUUAGGCCAGUUGCCUAAAAAUCCAGAAAAAUUCCCUGCAGAAUGUUACACAAUACUUUGGAGCUAUUGUUGGCCGGGUUGUUAAUCGGAUUGGUGGUGCUCAGUUCACUCUAAACGGAGUUCAUUAUAAGCUUGAUACUAAUGAGAAACCAAACAUGCUUCAUGGUAAUUUACUCCUAGCUAUAACACAUGUAAAUUUGAGUCAUCAACUUUAACCACUGACUCUGUCUGUGGAUGCUAUGUAUCGUGAGGGAAACAGGUGGUAGAAAAGGAUUUAGCCUGCUCACUUGGAAGGUGGAGAAAUACGUGAAAGAUAAGGCCAAUCCUUUCAUUGUAUUGUCCUAUUACAGUCCUGAUGGAGAAGAAGGAUUCCCUGGAAAUCUCCUGGUUAGAGUGACCUAUGCUCUACUUGAACCAUAUAAGCUGAGCGUAGUAAUGGAAGCGGAAGCCCUGAACAAGGCUACUCCUGUGAAUCUAGCACAACACAGUUACUGGAAUCUUGGAGGCCAUAACAGUGGUGAGUUUUUUUUUUUUUUUUUUUUUUUUGUUUUUUUUCUCCCCCUCCCCCGCCACCCCUCUUCUCCCUCUCCCCUUCCCCUCCCUUCCCCCGCCACCCAUUUCCUCCCCUCUCCCACGGCACCCCCUCUGCCCGCCACCCCUCUCCUCCCCUCUCCCACGGCACCCCCUCUGCCCGCCACCCCUCUCCCCUCUCCCCAUCCCCCUUCUCUCUCCCGCCUCUGCAAAAGAAGACCGGCAUCUGAAAAUUUUUUUUUUUUUUUGCAAUUUUCCUUCUCCCCCUCUACUCCCCUUCCCCCGCCACCCUCACCCUCCCUCAGUGCAAUCUGGUCUUGCGACUAGAUCGGCCAAAGGGGAAGGGGAAGGGUGGUGGGGGAGGAGUGGGGGAGAGGGAAAGGGAGAAAAAAAAGAGAGAGAGGAUCAAAAUCGGGCAAAGUGGGAGGAUGGAAGGGGAGGAAGAGGGGGAGAGGGAGAAAGGAAAAAAAAAAAACGAAGAUAGGCACCGGAAGAGGUGAUUGGCGGCGGAGGUGGUGGCUGGCGACGGAGGUGGUGGUGGGUCGGGGUGGGGGAGGAAGAAGAAGAAAAGGGGAAGGGAAUUUUGGAUUUUUUGUGUUUUGGAUAUUUUAAAGUGUGUAGGUUAAAACUUUGAUAAGUUUUUGGGGUUUCUGUAGUAAAAGUUGUUAAAAAACUAGUAUCAUACAAACUUGGCAAAAAAUCAAGGUUCCAAACAGGCCCUUUAUUCUCUAAAGAAUCUUGUCUCUUUCUCCGUAUACCCAUUCUAGUUUAGUUUGUUUAUUUUCGGGCUAUUCUUUUUGUUUUGUCACACCAUUACAUUUAUGAUACUCACUUUUUCUAUAUAAAAGAUUUUAGUCCAUGAAAUUUGAACUAAGGGCAGAAAAUACAUCGAAUAUAUCACAAAUAUAAUAAAAUUGAAAAUUCACUAUAUUAGAUCCAGAAAAUGAUAAAAAUUACAACGUGAAACUCCAAUAUAUUCUAAAUCUAAAAAAUUCAUGAGCAAUGCAAUGAAUAUUACUGCAUGUUAGCGCCAUCAAAUUUGCUAUCCAACUAGUUUAAUCUCAAAUUUGAUGUUAAGAUAUGAUGGAGGAACCCAAGAAAUCCCACAUUUGAGAUGCAAAUCUGAAAAAAAAAAAUCUUUAAAUCUAAUAAAGAAAUGAUAAAAAUUAAAGAGAAAACUCUGACUAAAAUAUCAGGAGAAAAGAGAACUCUUAUUGAAUUACUCUAGAAGAUAGAAAAACUCUCACUAGUAAAUAUUAGGAGAGAAAAACUCUCAUAUGAUACUCUAGGAAAGACUUAUUGAAUAUAAAACAAGAGCAAAGGAAAUGAGACUCUAAUUUGAAAUCUCCCACCCACAAAAGAAAAACUAUUGAAUGGGUUUUUCAAGAGAAGGUAGAGAAUAUUUUGACUAUAGUUAUUUUCAAGAUAUGAAGGUGUACAAGUGGUGUUUAAUUUUAUGACUUGGGGGAAAGCCCACACGACAUGCAGGAGAUUAAAGCCCGUCGUUGAAGGUUGUUGGUAAUUAUCGUUUUAAGUUUUGUGUUACUGACUUUACACAUAGGAUGAGAAAAGUUGAAAAGUUGAAAGUUUAUAAUAUGAGACGAUGGGAUUAUUAGUUUAUGAUAGUGGAGAAGUCUGUUGCAUUGGAGACGUGUAUUUUCUAUGCAGUUUAAAGAGAUUUGUCAAAAAAUUCUAUGUCUAUGUCAUAAAUGGUUGCUUCAAUAUUUUACCCCUGCACAUUUUGAUAUAUAAUGCAUAAGAAUAUUCUUUAACAAUAGCAAAUUGUUAUAGUAAAAAUGAAGAAAACUAUGUCGAAAGGAAUUUGAGAAUUGAUUACCUGAGUAUUGACGAACACUAAUUUUUGAUGGCGUCUUCCAUCUUUUGAGAAUCAUGGUGUGUGUUUUUUGAUCACUUCAACAAAUAAUGGUCCAAUUUCAAGUUUAAUGUUGUAUCAUUGAUAACUGGUUCAAGUUCGUGCUCCUUUUUUUGAAGACACUUGAAUUUUGUUUUGUGCGAUUUAUAAGUGAUUAUAAAGAAUACAAAAAUGGAAAAACCAAAGUUAUUAAACUUUUUUCUUUUACCUUGUUUGCAUUUUUUGUGCAUGGAUCCAAAAAUAUUGAAAGGGCAAGUGGCAAACAAGAAGCUUGGGAGUUCAUGAAGCAAAGAAUUAAUCGUGACCUAUCAUUACAAUAGAAGAGGAAGGGAAGAUUAUUGAAAAGUGAGGAGUUAAAAAUAAAAUUCAACUAGAGGAAGGAAGAUCUAACAAAGACUGAUCUACAAGGUAUGGAAAAAGGUCUUACAAGAAUAUGUAUAAUUUUGUAUUACAUAGUAUGAGUUACUACAUUUUGCAACUAUGAAAUUUACAAUUGAACUGAACUAGAAGUAUGGUAGCAUAGUUAUCUGAAAUUUGAUUUGAAGAUGGGCCUUGGCGAGAUUACAAGUAGUUGAUAUUUAACUUUGUAAAGCAUUAGCUGUAGGCAAGGAAUUGAGGUGAAAGUAGUGGAUGUGGCUAACGAAAGUGGGAGACUUUAAAAGAGUAAGAAGAAAGGUGUGGCAUUGAUAAGUAGUAGAAAAAAACUGAAAAAUGAGGAAGGAAAAUGGAUUAGUGGUGAUUAAGUAGAAAGAAGUAUUAGUUACACAAUAAUGAAUUGAUUUGAUUAUGGUUGAGCAUUGACAUUAUUAUAGAUGUGGCAUUUUAAUACAAUUGAUGAAACGGAAGAAUGGAAAGAAUGGUUUAGGAAAACUAAAUCAAUUGUCCUUAUGUUAUAUAGGUUUUUUGGAUCUAACUAUUUGAAAUCACCUAUUAAUGGAAUACGUAAAAAAUUAGAAGCGGCUAAAACUGAUUCCUCAUACAUCAAAAAGCACUUUAAUAACAAUUGAUAAAACCUCCUGCUUCUCAAGCAUUUUUAAGGCCUUUGAUGGGCUUUUAAGACAACACACCAAAAAUAAAGCUCCAUGACUUGCAUCCACUACCAAAAAGACGAUUAAAAUAAACUCAUAUAUCCAAAAUGCUCAUAAGCCAAAAAUAAUGUAAGGACAUUUACAAAACAACAACAAAGCCAACGCUGCCAAAUCUUGUACCUAAAGCUCAACCUUCACUCCAAAUAAUUCCACAUUUCCAAAAUACCCCACCCAUACAGUGCUCUUUUGACCAAAACUCAUUCUUAUAUUAUAUAAAAAGAUAAGGAUACCUACUUAAUUAUGGUUAGUUGCAUUUCAACUCUAAGGGAAGCAACUAAAAUUGUAGUACUUGUUCUUUGCUCUUUCAUAUUUUUAGAUAUAUUACUAGUAAUCCAUAUUGGUAGGAUCAAUACAUAUGGAAUAUAAAUAGAGUAAUAACUCACAAAUAAUGCGAUAAAAAUUAACAUGAACUCCUUUGCGUUUUCUAUACACAUCAAAUUGUUGACAUGAAUUUAAACAUAGGUCCUUUUGUUGAGUUUGAUAUUAACAACUCAAUUUAGAAAUUUGAAUUAAAUGAUUUGGGAUAAUAAUUAAUGCCAAAAAACACAAAGCCAAUUAACUGUCCAAGGAAAUAUUAUGGCUUAAAGUGUCAUAGAGAAGCCAGACAAACCUCAAGGAUAUAGUUGUAAUUUAAUAAAUUUUUUAUUCACUGCUUAUAGUAAAUAUAGUAUUUAUAUAUUCAGGGAAGACUAGAGUGCCAAAAGCGUAGUUAGUAAAAUGUGGGAUGGGUAUAAUACGAAAUUUAAUAUGUACCUAUAUUAUACGGAUUUUUUUUUUCAAAAGUAUGAUUAAAAGCUCGACGUAAAAAUAUGAGUUUGGAAAAAUUAUGUAUAUGAAUUUGAACAUGCAUAAUAAGAAUAUUUUUAGAAGUUACAAACAAAAAUUCAGAUAACUCUUACGAUUUUCAAAUAUUAUGCUACAUUUAUAUCACUUUUAACUCUUAUUCUUGUUUAUUGGAUAUUUAAAUUUAUUAAAACUUUAUUAUCUUAAUAUGUUUAUAUCUUUAAACCUUUACAAAUUUUGAUAUAAUAUAGGUGUUAUAUUAUAUAUAAAUGGAAAGAUAUGUCAUUAUUUUUCCACAAAUUUUAAUUCGAGAAGUAUAAUAUGCCAAAAAUUUAUUAUAUUAUGUGAAAAAUAAGAGCAUUUUUCAGAAUAUUUUAAAAUAUACAAAAUAUGAAAACUUUUUGAAAUUAUACGUGAUAUAAUACAAUUACUUACUACUCAAUAGCCUGAAAGUGAAGGUCAACAGGUUGGCUGUGGUCAUUUAAAGAUGACUUGGACCGUGUCUAAAUUUAUCAAAAAACCAACAGCAGUCAUGGUAACGUCAGCAAAAUGAAGUCAAUCACAAACCCACCAACGAGUAAUCAACAAAUGUUUUGUUAAGUAUAGUUUUCUUCUUUUGUUGAUUUUGAUGCAUAAUUGAGAAAUUAAGAUAAAUUUGACCAUAUGGUGACUCCUAGACAAUGUACUUUGUAGCCAAGUCUAUUCAAAAAGGGUUGUCAAAUAGUUUUUAUUUAUUUUUUUCGACUGAAUUUCCAUGAUCUGCAGAGAAUAAUCAUUAAAAAUAGCUUUACCAAAUGCUCAACCGGCUCAAACCUUUCUCGAUCAAAUCUAAUUUGAAUACAUAAAAUAGAUGCCAAAAAGAAAAAGAAACCAAUGGAAUUUCAUGCUACAACAACAACUGAAGUUGACUAAGUUCUUUGCCUUUAGUUACAUAAUCAUUAGCUAGACGCUAUGCCUCUGGCUCGAACAUACAGCAUUGAGGCCUAAAAUAUUACUCGGUUCAACUUUGAUUGUGAUAAUUUACCAUGCAUAUGACUCUUCGUCUUCUUAAAUAUUCUUUUGGUAUUUAAUCAAACGCCAACAGAGGUAACUUACACGGUUACACCCGAAUACUCUCAUAUUGCUGGGAAAUGGCAGGCUUAAUUGGGACAUGUGAAAAUUUGAAGCAGAAAACCUGCUUCUAGAACAGUGAACUAUUGCAUCUUCUAGGGCGUGCUUCCAGUGCAAGUUGUGGGAGUUUUGGUGCUAUGAAUUCAGUGUGGUUGACUAUGAAUCUGUUGUAGACUUAGUUUUUCUUAGUGCAACAAAAGAAGCAAUAGAUACUUUUUAAGUUAGACUUUUUUUCCUUUCCAAAAUUAUGUGAGAUUAUUAGGUGGAAUAAGUAUACGUGAUAUGAUAAGAAUUUGUGUAGCCAAAAAGUAGGAAGAGAUUCAGAUUGAAAUUGAAAGUUUCACUAGUUUUAACGAAGGUUAUGAGGUACAUACUUGGACACAAUGAUUUUGACCCUUUGAUAUCAAAUUAAUACAUUUGUGUAUUAUCCAGAUGUUUAAUGAGGGAAUUCGAGAAAAACUAUACUUGGGAGGAGGCCAAUCCCUCCUUACAACUCCUUGACUAAUUCAUCACUUUCUCCCUUAACCUUUAUCAAUUUGUCAAUUGACUAAUGGGUUUUAUUAUCUCUAAAUUAUUUAGAAAUUUCAAAAUCUCUUACUAACUUCAUGUUUCUUAUCACCAAAUUAUUUUUAAAUUGCUUAUCUACGUAGUAAUUUAAUUCUUUUAUGACUUUCCAAUACUUUUUCAUAAAUUUACAAUUAUUUCUAUGUUUAUAAUAUUAGCUAAAGGUAGUUCUCCUAUUUGUUUUUUCUUUUUCUUUUUGCGUCAUUUUUGGUACAAUGUAAUUGUCUUCUUUGCUUUUGGAUUUGCUGUGAUUGUGAAAAUAGAUUUAUUCAAUAUAUAUUGCAUUGUUGUUUCAAAUUUUAAGUUAUUUUCAUUGAUGAAUCAAAGUAUUCUAACACAUUGAUGAACUGCAUGUGGAUUCAGAUGAUUCAUUUUAAGUGUUCAUAUGAUAAUAAAAAUGACAUAUUGAUUAUUUAUGACAUAUUUGUGAUAUCACCGCGUCAAUACGGACUUGACAACCGUUCGUCUUACUAUUAAAUUAGUGAUCAUUAAUGCAGUAACAUUUCCAGUUCGAUGAAUGAGUUCGAUUUUAAAAUUUUGGUCCUACAGGAAUUUACUAAAACCGAAGGUUUGAAUCUGAUUGAUCUCCCAUUUAUAAACUAUUUGUUAUCAAGGAUUAAAGAGCACAAGGCAUUUGCAAUCUGGAAACUUUAAGUAAAGCAGCUCUUCCAAAAGCAGUUGUGCUAGAGGCAUAUGGCAAAAUCUUGUAGCUAGAGGACUCUGAUCUCGCUUCUCAUCUUGUGGUCUGGUUGUAGAAUUGGUGCAUUUGGUUCAUCAUGCUACCAAGGAGCAUACCAAUUCUAACCUCAUAUGGAAAGUUUGAGAUCUCUUAGGCCAAAAUUGAGGAGUGCAAAUCAUGGCAUUUUUGGCGAGAAUACAAUUCCUGUGCUGGUUUUUUUUUUUAAAUAUCAGUCUUAGGGUGCGAUUGAUAAAACUGAAAUUUGAAAACUGAAGUCUGAAAUCUAAAAUUUGAAGUCUAAAUCCAUCAGAUCAUUGAAUUGUUAAAUAUUAAAUCUAAAAUAUUUGAGUACAUAUCACAUUCAGUGAUAAAUAAAUAACUUAUUACUUAAUUUUGAGAGUAAGUUUUGCCUAGAAAAUUUAGUGUCACUUAAUUAAUUCAGAUGUUCAAUUUUUGGUUAUCAAAUUGUUAAAAUUUGUUAAAAUUUGAAUUCAUUAAGCUUAUCUGCUGAACUUGUUUAUCAAACAGGGCCUUGGUGUUACACCGGCGAGAGUACAAUUCUCGCGCUGAUUAUUUUUUUUUUAAAUAUCAGUCUCAAUGUGCAACUUGGUGUUACUCUUUUCUCAGAUCCACCUGGUGCUGUUAAGUCGUCCUUGUCAUUCAAUGCAAUGAGUGCAACUCAGUCACAACUCACAAGUAGUCUUAUAAUUGCGACUCCGGCCUUCCUCUUACUAAAAAGAAAACAGGAUCGAUCUCCCAUUUAUUGCAGAAUGUAUGUUUAACUUAAUUCAGAUCAAAUGGACAGUCAUUGGUUUGCAUAUAAGCAAGUACAUUCAGUCAUUCAUACAUACAUACAUAUAUAUAUAUAUAUAUAUAUAUAUAUAUAUAUAUAUAUGUGAAAAAGAUCACUUGUUUCAAAUUACCAUAAUUACCUAUUCAGUAAUAAUAACAACUGGGAAGCAAUGGAUUUGCUCAUGUUUAAAAAUAGUCUUCAUGCUUGGACAUCCAUAUCAACAGCGAUAAUAUAUAUCUCUGCCGUCUCAAAUACAUUCUUUUCAUCAACAACUGCAUUUCAAAAAUAGCCCACUUAAAUACAUUCUUUUCGUCUAUAACUGCACUAAAAAAAUACAAGACAAGCUAAAGGAGUUUACUUGGAACAAAGUCCAAGUUAUGGACUAGUUAAAAUAUGAACUUUGAAAUACAAGGAGAUUAAAAAAUCAGAUCAAAGACUAUUAAGAUUGAAGACAAUGUCAUAGAAUUAUCAUUAUCAUUACUAUUUAAAAAAUAUGAUGUGUUUAUACAAUUAGAAUGUGUAAUAAACUUUUAAUUGCUUUGUGUAAAUAAAUAUUUUGUACAACUACCAACUGCUUAAUAUUGCUCAUUAUAUAGUUUCUCAGUUUAUAUUAUGCCAAUAAUCAAAGUUUUACAAAGAACUUUAUUAUAUUAAAUGUUUUUAUAUCUUAAAAAAAUAUGUUCACGUGCACAGCACAUGAAUUAUUAAGGAGAUCAAAGACUAGAAACAGUGUCGUAGACUAUUAAGACUAAAGGCAAUGUCACCGCCAAAAGGUGGUGUGUUCGAAUCUCGCUACUGCUUCAAAAUUGUGCUGGUGAGGUAUUUGUAAGAACCGCUCCAAGUAGCCUAUAAUCACAAAGGCAUACAUUGACUCGUGGUGGUAAUGAAUCCAUUCAAACAUUAAUUUACCCAAAAUUACAAUUAUUACUUUCAGGAUGACAAAAUUACAAAAUAUUUCCAAAAUCUUGAUUUGCUCCAUGUAUUGUUAGGUUUGGUCCAGAAAAUUGACGAAUGGGUUUUUGGCAACCCGAAAUACAAAUUACAAUAUAAAUAACAAAGCAAAAAUAAAUAAAAUAGAGAUAAAAAUUUAUGUGGUUCCAUCAAAUGACCUACUUCCACGGGGAAGUUUGAUACUUAACUCAAAAACCUGCAUAAGGCCCCGAAAACCUUUGGCAUACUUAAACUCACUUAAUCCAAUAUAUUUAUAACUACUAAAUAGAAAGACUUAUUUGUAAAACUCCCUAUGUGAAAUAUAAAGACAAACUCAACAAGUACGCAGGGUUUAUUCUUACAAAGAAUACAUCUGCAUCAUAUCAUCUUUUGCUGAUGCUUGAUUGUGCUAUGUAGGGGGGAAAAAGUAAGGCACUGCAUUCUGCAUUUAAUAGCUAGGAAGAUACUUGCAAAAAAAAAAAAAAAAAAAAAUCAUCCAACUUCUACAUAUCUGAUGCAUCUAUUAAUUUAACAAGAAAAGAAAUGGAAAAGAGAAUCACACGGCCACGGUUAAUCACAAGAAGUCACUUAGAUGGUUCACAAGCUGACAUCGACCUGGAAAUAAGGAGCAUUGUUGGCCUACAUUGAGGAUCAGCAUGUAGACAUUCUCUUGCUAGUUUGAGAAUGGACAUUAGGAUCUUUUCAAUUUCUUGAUUGGGAUACAGAAGUCUUUGGUCGAGCAAGUCUUUUAGUUCUAUAUCUUCAGGGUUUGAAGACAUUAGAUUAGCAAUCAAGUCUCCAGGAUGCUUUCCUUUGAUUACUUCCAUCGUCAGGACCCCAAAGCUAUAAACAUCACAUUUUUCAUCAACUUUCAUUGUGUAGGCAAAUUCUACAAGAUAAAGUUGGAAGAUCAUGAUAUGUGAUCAUAUUUGAAUUUACUAGUUAACAAAUUAAUGAAAGGAAAGAAAAGAAAAAAAACCUUUAUAAUUACCUGGUGCAACAUAUCCAUAGGUGCCUGCAAGAGAACUCCAAUUAGAUGAGUCUUUUUUCAGAAACUUGGAAGUGCCAAAAUCUGAAAUGUGAGCCUCAUAUUCUGGAUCAAGCAAAAUGUUUUUGCUUGAUAUGUCCCGAUGUACAAUCACUAGUGAACAAUCAUGAUGCAUGUAAGACAAAGCAUGAGCGAUGCCUUUAAUGAUUUUCAACCUCUUUUGCCAGUCUAGCACCUUAGCUUCUUCUUCUAUGCUCAAGAUUUUGGCCAAGCUUCCUCUUUCAAGGUGCUCAUAAACCAAAAUCGAAUGCUGAGCAUUUGAGCAGAAGCCAAAGAGUUUCACAAUGUUUCGAUGCUUGAUUUCUGUCAAAGCCCUGAUCUCAUUCAAGAAAUUUCUAUCCUUUGCCACAUUAGGCAUGUUGUGAAGUCUUUUUACAGCUACUACAUCGCCUGAUGGAAGCUGUGCUCUGUAAACACUUCCAUAACCUCCUUUCCCAAUGCAAAAUAUUUCACUAAACUCUUCCGUAGACCUCACUAUUUCUUUAUACAAUGCCUUGGCAUCAUGAGCACAGAUGGCAAAUAAAUUGCCCAUCUUCACCUCCAUAACUUCCGCUCUUGAAUUCCUUUUCCUUUGAUCAUGCAAUCUGAGAACUCCAAAGAAUGCACCAAGACGCAUGAAUGAUCCCAGAAGAGGUAAUACAAUUACGAGAACAAGUUCCUUCCUUUUAUUCAUGCCAUGCUUUUUACUCAAUGGGGAACUUUCACAGGCUUGUAACCCGGUAAUAUUGCCACACAAACCUUUAUUUCCCUUUACUUCUUCUAAGGUUAGAUUCGCAAAGGCUCUACCACUCGGAAUUGGACCCUCCAAAUUAUUAAACGAAAGAUUAAUGUGACAUAAACCGGGCAGUGCUGCCAAAGUUUUCGGGAUCAAACCAGAGAGGUUAUUAUGGGAGAGAUCCAACAUCCCCAGACUCUGUAAACUUUGAAGCUCGGAUGGUAUCUCUCCUAUGAAGAAAUCUUGACUCAAAUCCAAUUCAGAAAGUUGGGUUAACUUCCCAAUUUGGGGUGGAAUCUUCUGACUUAACAUUGUUGCUCAAGUUCAUGUCAUGAAACAAGUGUUUCAAAUCUCCCAGAAGUUUUGGUAAAUUUCCACUCAAGGAGUUUGUGGACAGGUCAAGAAAUUCCACUAGCCCUCCCAAUUCCUGAGGUAUACCACCAAGAAAUUGGUUGUCAUGUAAAUCUAGUUUAAGCAUAGAAGCUAACUUUGCAACUGCCCUUGGUAUCUCCCCUGAUAAAUAAUUUGAAGAAAGAUUAAGUGCACGUAGUUGUGUUAAAUUUCCAAUUUCUGGAGGUAUACCACCUGUGAUGUUGUUCUUUGCAACCAUCAGGGUCGUCAAAAGUUUGCAUUUGCCCCAAUUGCUGGAGAGUUCUCCGUAGAAUUCAUUGUUGCUGAGAUCUAUGAAAUUCAGGAAUGGAUAGAUUCCAAACAUUUCUGACAAGUUUCCGUGGAAAUGGUUACCAUUGAAACUGGCCCUAACUAAGCUUGAGCAGUUUCGCAAGCUUCUAGGGAUUGGACCUGAAAGCAUGUUCCCAGAUACAGCAAUAAAUUGGAGUGUUGCAUUUUGACAUAGUAGUUCUGGCAAUGGACCAGAGAACUGAUUUUGAGCCAAUAACAUAAAAGCCAACUUUUUCAAGUUUCUUAGCUCUUCUGGAACGGUACCAGAAAUUUGGUUAUCUCUUAGCUGCAAUCUUCUUAAGCUGCUCAAGUUACCAAUUGCAACAGGAAUGGGACCAUUAAGUUGGUUCUCACCUAUUCCCAUAUCGAUAAGGAAUUUCAGAUCACCCAGUUCCUUUGGAAUUGAACCCGAAAGCUGAUUGUAAUAGAGAUAUAGUUGAAUUAAAUUAGUUAAAUUUCCGAGUGACUUUGGGAUGGCGCCAGUAAGAUUAUUCUGACUCAGAAAAAGAAACUGAAGUGAGAUCAAAUUCCCAAAUUCACUAGGAAUGGGACCAGAUAGGUGAUUUUGGAAAAGACUUAGAUUCACCAAUCUAUUGAGGUUACCAAAAGUGGUUGGAAUUGAACCAGAAAAUUGAUUCGUUUGGAGAGACAAAUAUUCCAAGUUGCUCAAGUUACCAAUUGAAACAGGAAUGGAACCACUGAGUUGGUUUUCACUUAUCGCUAUAUCCAUAAGGCAUUUCAGAUCACCCAGUUCCUUUGGGAUUGAACCCGAAAAUUGAUUGUAAUAAAGAUACAGCUGAAUUAAAUUGGUUAAAUUUCCUAGUGACUUUGGGAUUGCACCAGUAAGAUUAUUUUGAAACAAUAAAAGAAAUUGAAGUGAGAUCAGAUUCCCGACUUCACUAGGAAUGGGACCAGAUAGGUAAUUUUGAUAGAUACUUAGAUUCACUAGUCUAUUAAGAUUACCAAAAGUCGAUGGAAUUGAACCAGAAAACUGAUUCGUUUGGAGAGACAAAGAUUCCAAGUUACUCAAGUUACCAAUUGAAAUAGGAAUGGAACCAAUAAGUUGGUUCUCACCUACUUCCAUCUUGGUAAGGAAUUUUAGAUUACCCAAUUCCUUUGGAAUUGAGCCCGAAAGUUGAUUGUCAUUGAGAUGCAGUUUAAUUAAAUUGGUUAAAUUGCCUAGUGAUUUUGGGAUUGCACCAAUGAGAUUAUUUUGAUUUAAAAUAAGAAACUGAAGUGAUGUCAAAUUCCCGAUCACACUGGAAAUGGGACCAGAUAGGUGAUUUUGGAAAAGGCUUAACUCUACUAGCCUGUUGAGGUCACAAAAACUGGCUGGAAUUGAACCUGUUAAAUUGUUGUCCUCGAGAUAAACUUCAAUGAGAUUAUGUAGAGUUCCUAAUCCUGUUGGAAUUGGACCUGAAAGUCGAUUACUUGCAAGAUCCAAAUGAGUCAAGCUUCUCAAGUUGCAAAUUUCAGAUGGGAUUUCUUGUGACAAUUCAUUUACUGAAAAAUCAAGAUAAAUGAGCUUCGCCAGGCUACCUAUCUGUUUAGGUAUGCAACCAAAGAUCUGAUUAUGGCUGAGAUCAAGAUACUCAAGAUUUGGGAGGGAUGAAAAUGGGAAAUCAAAGAGGCUACCUUUAAUACUCCAAGCUGAGAGGUUCAACCUGUUGACACCUCCAACAACGCAGGAAAUACCGGCACAAGUGCAUGGAAGGCUAGAAGAAUUCUUGGCAAUGAUAGAUUGAAGGUUCCAUGAGGUCAGAAAGCUAUUGUUCUGAUUUUGAAAACUGGCUUUCCAUUUCAAAAGAGCUAAAGCCUCUUCAGCAUAAGCUGAAGCUCCACAUUUGGGGUGAAAUGAUGGGAAAAGUAAGACCAGAAGGAAUAAGGAGAUCAUUUUGAAAGAACUCAUGAUUACAUUCAAGUUUAACUCAAGUUGGCUCACGUUGUUACGCUGUACCCCAAAUGAAGCCAGUAUUUAUCCUAACUGUACACGGAAGACUUCAGAGGUCUUCUUGCUCGGUUCCCUCUUCUUUAUUUUCAUUGAAUCUUGACAUUGAAACACAUAAGAUGUCUAUUACAAUGGGCCAAGAAAUUUAAAGCAAUGAAGUCUUUCCACGAGAUUGACUAUUUUGAUCUUCUAUCAGUAAUUUUUCCUACUGAAUCUACAGAAUAAUGUGACUCGAGUACCUUUGGAGAAGGAGUUGAGAUCACCUGAUUCCUAAAUAAUGAUGAACCUAUAGGCUGAGCAAGUUAUGUUAUAGUUCUAGCCCCGUUUGACAAAAGAGUUUUUUGGAUGUUUAUCUAAAAUUUUAUUGUAACUUACUAUAGAGGUUGUAGAAAAAAUUCUUCAAGUGUAUAAAAUUUUAAAUAUUUUGAAAUGUAUAAUUUAAAAACUUUGAAAAGAUUUUAAGGUUACUAUAACUAAAAUUGUUAAAAAACUUGUAGCAGACAAACUUGGUCAAAAACUUAUUUGCCAAACAGACCCUAUUUUCUGGAUAUGGAUUAUACAAAGCUAUUUGACAGUAUAUUUCACAAAAUGCAAGAGAAGUCAGAAAUUGCCGAAAGCUAUUUUUGCCAAUUGUAUAGGAAGAUUUAGUUGGUCGUAGCACUUGACAAAAAAGGAUAUGGCUGGCAUCGGCACUCUAGGACAAAUUAUAUAUAACCGCUCGUAGUUUUGUAUAUUACGAUAUAACUCCUCUGAAGUUUUAAAAUAGCUUUAUAACUUCCUUAUAUAACCCGCUUAUGUAUAAGAAUAAUAUUAUAAGAUAAGAAUCAAGUAAAAAUAUCGUAGGAUACAAUAGCUAUGCUUGUUUUUUACUGCCUCCGUCUCAAUAUGUUUUUAUCGCUCUUUGACAAUCCAACUUUUUAAAAAUAGUGUUUUGAUUAUGAUGUUAUAUUUUUCUUUCUAAUUUUAUCUCCGAAUUUCAGAUUUUGAAUUUGAAUAUACAAUGUGUAUGAAUAAAAAAAUGGACAAUAUCGGGAAUAAAAAUAUAAAAUAAUUUUGACUUUUGUAACAUGAGAAACAUUUUGGAACAAAUGGAGUAACAAAUUUGAGACUGGGAUCUUGUUGCCAAAGGUCCCAAUGAAUACUAAGUCAAAAUGAGGGCCUACCUUAGUCUGUUAAGGCUUGAUGAUGAAACUUUCGUGAGCAAUUAACUAUUUUUCUUUAGGGUAAGCAAUAAAAAAAAUCCCUGUGGUAUAGCUAAAAGCUUCUUGUAGUUUCAAAUCAUACGUGUUGGUACCUUAUAGUUUGAAAUAAUUUGAAACAUUGACGAAAAUCACUAAAACAAACAAUUUUGAGUGAAAUGACAGAAAUGCCCUAAUAAUAAAAGCAAAAAAUAGUCUAAAACAAAUGGUUUUGAUUCAUUAGUUUCAUUCACUAAUAAUAUAAGCAAAAAAUGUCGAUUUCUACAAGUUCGAAGCAAAUUUGAAGAAGAAUCAUGGUUGUUUUAUUAAGGUAUGAGGAGCAAAAUAGGUAUUUCAGAUAAAAAUUUGCCUUAAAAAACUAUUUUUUGGAAGAACCAUAUGCAUUUCCAGUGCGUUUACGUCAAACGCAUUAAAUUUAACGAUUUCCGUUGAUUUUUCACUUUACUUCAAACCAUGAGGUACCAAUGUGUAUGGUUUGAAAUCAUAGGGGGCUUUUUUCUAAGAUAGCUAUACUACAGGAGGCUUUUUUGUUGUUUAUCCUUUUCUUUAAAAUCCUACAAAUUGUAUAAGACACAACAUGCAAGAAAAUACAAGGAAAUACACAAAAUUGCUACACUAAUGAAAAAAUAACACUAACAAAAUUGCUACAGUAAUUUUUCCUACUAGCCAAAUAUGCAUGAAGAAAAAAUAACUAAUUUUUCUUCACUUUCCUCCACUUUUCCUUGCAACCAAACACUAUCCAAGAUUUUGAAAUUCUUCUUGACAUUGGAGUUUGGGUAAAUGAGCCUAAUCGAUCCGACUAUUUUAAUAUUUAAAUUUGUUUUAUUAUUUUAUCAGAUUUGAAAUUGUGUUUAACCUUAAUUUGUUUAUUUAUCACUUCAAACUUAAGCAAACUUUUAUCGAAUCAAAUUUAAAUCGAGCUACUUUGAGUUAAGUUCAAGCAGUUUGAACCUUCUAAAUGUAAGUUUCACUUUUAUACUAAAUAGUAUGGGAGUAUGUGCGUUGCACGCUAUAGGUGUUAUGUUUAUAUGAUACUUGUUCAAAUAUUCAUUCUCGUAAGAUUAAUUAAAAAAAAAUUAACUGUUUAAAAAGUGUUGCAUCGAUAACAAUCUUCUCGUUUAAUGACACAUAUAAAAGACUUUUGUAGGUUUUAACAAAACUUAAUUAAUUGUAUGUCUUGAUAAAAAUCUUAGACAAAAAAAUAGAAGUAAUUUGGAAAAUAAAAGAAAAAGAAUUUAUUGAAGGAAAAAAUUCAUUAUUUCCAUGCCAAUUAACAUGCAUGUCGAGUUUCUUAUUGUUUAAAUAUUUUGAUUACCAAUGGCAUCAUUUAAAUAUUUUGUUCCAGGAUUACCAGGCAUGUCUAACUAAAUCUUAAGUGUGACUUGGAAUACAUAUUAGAAUCAUGCUUCCUUUUGACCUCUGAGUAAUUUUAUAACAAAUUGAAAGAUGUUAAAAUAAAAAUUACAGUGAUACUGGUUUUUUUGGCAUCAUUAUAUUUUGCGAUACUGGUUUCUUUGACAUCAUUAUAUUUUGUUAAUUAAGGUUAGUUUCACAUGAACUCUAAUUAAUGCUAUUACACUUCAUUUUACUUGUACUUAUAAUUUACUACCAAAUUCUUGGCAUGAAUUUAAAGGUAUAAUCGACUUGGGCUUCUCGUCUUCCGUUCUAUUUCCUUUUCUUGAGUUUAAUGUCAACAGACCAACGUUAAAAACUUCAACGAAUUGAUUUUUGGGUAGUAAUUAGCACUUGGGAUCCUCGGUGACAUGUUUUCUAUGUCAAUCCAAUGCCACCAAUAGUGUUGCGCCAAGUGUCAUAUUAUUAUUUAUAUUUGUGCUAAACCAAGCCAAGUUGAAUUAUUAGAAAAUUAAAGUGUAAUUAAUAACAAGACACUUGGCGCAACACUAUUGAUGGCAUUGAAUUGGCAUAGAAAACAUGUCACCGAGGAUCCCAAGUGAGUAAUUAGUGCCAAAAACUCAAAGGCUAACUGUCAAAAGAAAAUUUUAGAGCAUAAAUUAGAAUUGUAAUCUAAUCUUAUAUUAUAAAAUUUAUAGCUACGAUAGUUAAGAAAGACCGUUCUGACAGUGAAGUUCAUCAGGUUAUUUGCGGUCAGUAUAGGCCAUUUUAAAUAUGACUUGGACAGCGCUAAAUUUUCAAGUACCAAGGCCUAUGUCUUGACAACCUUAGCAAAAUGAAGGAAAUUCUAAAUCCACCAACGAUGAUCAAUAGUAUAUAUGACUAUUGGAUGAAUCCUAGAGAAUGUAUUUUGAAGCAAAAUCUAUUCAAAUGAGUUACGAGAUGUGAAGACCCCACCUCCCCACGGAACGAAUCCAAGAGUUUGGCAGAUCGCCUGUCCAACUUUCGUCGGAACUCACUCGCUAGCAUUCUUAAAAAAGGUUAUUUACGCUUCUAAAUUUAUAUAGGAGGUUCCCAAAGCAACCAUAAUUCAAACUUCGUUUACAAGUUAAAAGUGAAAUGUAACUUUACAUUGCCAAAUAUUCCAAAUACAUUCAAUCCAUAAAAGUACGAAUACAAGAAACUUAUAUACACUAGUUCAUGCCUACUUGCUCCGACUUCCACUCUUAUAAGAAAAACAAACUAACAGAAUGACCUAAAAAGUCAAUGAGAUUCCUAAACAAGCAAUUAAGCAGGUAUAUACAGAAACAUUUACAUUUAAUACUUUGCACACUUGACACAGUAAUAAGCAGCCAUUCAAGAAUCAAUUAUUCAUUUAUUGAAAGAAUACGUGCUCACUUGAAACCAUUCAUUCAUUCAAUCGUCGAUCGUUUUCCUUAUCCCUCCAAUGUAAUCAUUGGCCAUUCGCCAACCAUCUGCCCCUCCACCCCACGCGACCCACCCAGCCCAUCAUAAUCAUUGGCCAUUGCCAACGCUUUCCCUUAGUCAAUUCUCUCCUUCUCCCCUUCUUGUCCUAAUGUCCCCCACCAGUAUUUUUCAAACGUUGCGUAUUGACUCAGUUAUCAUGAUGGGAAAAGUAGGACCAAAAGGAAUUUGGAGAUUAUUUCGUAAGAGCCCAAUGACAAUUUCAACUUCAACUCAAGUUGGCUAGCGUUGUUACUCUGCACCACAAAUGAAGCAAGCACUUAUCCCCUCCGUACAUGGAAGACUUCAAGGGUCUUCUUUUUCUGUCCGCCCUUCUUUGUUUUUUUUUUUUUUUUCUUUUUGAGAUUGAAACAAAUAAGAUGUCUACAAGCGAAAUUUAAAGCAAUGAAAAUGUUUUCAUGAGAUUGACCAUUUUUUAUCCUCUAUGACUAAUUUUUCCUAUUGAAUAUACACAAAAAAGGUAACUCGAGUAACUCUUGGAGAAGGAGCACAAGGCUGAGCAAAUUUUGUUAUAAUUCUAUAUUUUCUUGGCAUGGAUUAUGCAAAGUUAUUUGACAGUAUAUUUUCAUGAAAGGCAAGGGCAGUCAGAAAUCGCACAAAGCUAAAUUUUUACCAAUUCUAUAGGCAGAUUUAGUUGGUCGUAGUACUUGCCCAAAUAGAAUUUAGUUGGUAUUGGUACCAGAACAUUUAUGUGUCUGUUUAAUUUCAAGCAUUGUCUGCCUUCAGGUUAAUAUAACCUUUUCUUUUCCUGUUAGUUAAAGGCUGCAGAACUUCCUCAGAAGUGAGGAUAAUUUGGCCAGAAUUAGGAGAAGCAUUUGAUUGAAUUCUGAGGUGAAAGUUUAGAACUAAUGGUACUGGCGAAUUCUAAAAUUUUACAUUGCAGUUAAAAACUUAACCACCAUCUUGAAGAAUGUCCAAAACACAGAAGUUUUAAUUGCUGAUGUAACAAAUGCAUUGCAAAAUUUUUCCACCUGGAACGUUAGUUGAGUGGUUAAGGAUAUUAACAUUGUUGCCUUGAGAUGGCAAAGUAUGCUAGUUUAAUUGAUGAUUCUAUCAUGUGGGUGGUUUCUUGCCCACACUUUUUUCGAUCCACUCUUUAUAUCGGCUCAUCAAUUCAUUAAUAUUAUAGGUUUUUUUUCUAUCAAAAAAUAUAUUUGAUUUUCAUUCAUAUUGAUCUAUUGAUCAAUAUAAGGACAACAUAUAUAUAUAUAUAUAUAUAUAUAUAUAUAUAUAUAUAUAUAAUAAUUCAGUGUAACCAGAUCAAUAAGUUAUUCUAUAAACCCAAGGACACGCAACAUCAAAAAGUUAACGAUAAUAUUGCAGUUGUGCUUGUUUUCAAAAUUAUUAGAUAUGGUUCAAUUAAAAAUUAUUUUGGAAUACGGCAGUCGUGCUUGUUUUCAAUCAAAUUUGAGGUUGUGCCCUUGUUGGCAAAGGUCCAAAGGACUUUUAAGUCCGGACAAGAACCUAUCCCAAUCUUCAAGGUAUAAAAAUAUAGCCUCAUCGCUUUCUUAUCAUAAAUUCACGAUGCACCAAGGUGGGAACGGGGUGGCAGAUGGGUCUACCAAGCGCUAAAAUUUUGAAAAUCUUAUUGCUAGACAAUCAAAUUAGGGGAUAAACGAUCUUAAUCAAGUGAAUAUUCUCAUGUUCAAAUUUUUUAAUUGUUUUUAAUAAAUCUAAAAUUGUGCUAACAUUAGUUUGUUUAUUUGCAGAAUCAAACUUAAACGAACUUUUAUCGAAUUAAACUCAAGUUGAGUUCGAGUAGGUUAAACUUUUUAUGCUAAUAGAGUCAAAUUCGAAUCGAAUUUCACAAUUUACCAAAUACAAGAUGUUGCUGGAGUUUGACUUGAGUAGCUGACAAUACUAAAGUCAAACGAGUUCUUACCAAAUCGAAUUUAAUUUGAUUUGUCUUUUAAUCCUUAUUGCAACAUUAUUUCUUUCAAGUGCAUUGUUAGUGAAAUUAGUUUUUCCCACUUAACAGUAUGUUUCCCUCCCUAGUCUUGUGUGUGUCCAAGUAUUGCUGCUCCUCUUCAUUCCACCCUACCCCACCCUAUUUCACUCAUUGCCAAAGCAUUCCUUUCUUCAAUUGUCUCCUUUUCCCUUCUUGUCCUCCAUUAAUAUUUUACCUACAUGACUUUCAUCGAUGUGAUUGGUUCGGUAUCAUGACUUUCAUCGAUAGCAAUCGCUUUUAUAAGUCUCCCGAAGUAACGGGAAAAGUAGGACCAAAAGGAAUAGGAAGAUUGUUUCGAGAGAACUCGGCUCUGCUUGGAUUAGCUAUUUUGGAAGUGUUUUUUAAAAAUUUUACUGUAACUGUGUAUAUGAAAAACUUUUACUGUAGAUGUUUUUAGGAUUGUUUUUAGGGGUAUUUUUAAAAUAUAUUUUUGAGUAUUUUUAUAAUUUACAAUUUUUUGAGAUUUUUUUAAAUAUAUACUGGCUCUGUUUCUAUAUAUUAAUAUUUAUUUAGUUAUAUAUAUAAUAUUUUUUAUUUCAAUUUUGUUUUACAAUAUGUGUAUUAAUAUAUAUAAUAUAAAUAUAAUAUGUAUAUUAAUAUAUAUUUAAUAUAUAUAUAAAUAUAUAUUAGUAUAUGUUAAUAUACAUAUUAUAAUAUACAAAUUGAAAUAUCUACAUUUAUAUAUUUAUAUAAUAUAUUUAUAUAUUUAUAUAAAAAAUAUAUAUUUAUAACAAAUCCCGUCUGUUUUCAUAUAAAUAUAUAAAAAUAAAUAUAUUUAUAUAUUUAUAUAAAUAUACAUAUACACAUAUUUAUAAAUAUAUUUUAAACAAAAAUAUUUAUAUUUACAUAUAUAAUAUAAUACACAAAUUGAAAUAUACAUAUUAACAUAUAUUAAUAUACAUAUUAUAAAACAAAAUUGAAACAAAUAUAUAAAUAAAUAUUUAUAUAUAUUUAUAUAAAUAUAUAUAUAUUUUAAAGAAAAUAUUUAUAUUUAUAUAUAAAUAUAUAAUAUUUAUUGCAAUUGAUAUAAUAUAUAUAAUAUACAUAUUAAUAUACAUAAUUGAAAUAUACAAAUUGAAUAUACAUAUUAAUAUUUAUUAUUAUACAUAUUAUAAAACAAAAUUGAAAUAAAUAAAUAUAAAUAAAUAUAUUUAUAAAUUGAAAUAAAUAUAUAAAAAUAAAUAUAUUUAUAAAUUUAUAUAAUAUAUAAAAAUAAAUAUAUUUAUAAAUUUAUAAAAAUAUAUAUAAAUAAAUAUAAACCAGGAAAGAUAAGAAAGCAGAGGGAAUUAAAAGCAUAAAGAUUAGAAAGUGGGUCGCAGUUGGACUGCCACUAGUUAGUAUAGGCGGUUGAACCAGCCAUAUAAAACAGAAUGUAAAAACAAGAAUUAAAUGGAUAUGAGACGGCUCGGCCGACUAUUUGAUUGAAUAUAAGAUUUACAAAAAUAAAAGAAAACUUACAAGGAUAUGAAGCUUGUACCAAACUCCUUUGUUUGAUCUAAAAACUAAAAUAUAAAAACUAAGAACUUGCUUGUAGAGAGAGGGAGGAGAGUUUCUUCAAACUAGAGAGAGAAGUGGUCUUGAAGAAAUGGUGUUCGAAUUGUGUGUGGAAUGUGUUGGGUUUGAGGGGUAUUUAUAGCAAAAUUUUCCGUAGUGUUACAGUACCCGCUACAGUGAUUUUGCUACAGUACUGCUAUAGUGUGCUCUACAGUGCAUUGUUUGUCUUUUGUUGCUGUGUUUGCACAGUAACCUGCUGGACUGCUACAGUGCUUCCGGUGCUACAGUGAAAAUGAAUUUUGUUCCGAUUGAGCCAGCUUGAAUAUCUGCUUGUUUUUAGUAGAUUGUCAAGGAUAGCUCUUGUUUUGUUUCCUGAAUCAUUUUGUCAAAUUCAGGUGCUUGUGUUCCCCAUUGGUGCUUGAUCCAAAGUUUGUGAAGAGUUAAUCUCUGAAUUUUUCUUCGCCUCAUGAAGCUUUGGUCCUUCAAGCUGCGAACUGUAUAGUUCGUUGGCUUUGCAACAAUGUUGUCAUGUUGGUACUGAAGAUGUGGAGAAAUGCUCUGUCCAGUUUCAGUGUUGUAAAAUACAACAUUGAAGUAUUUGAUUCUCUCCUCCCUGCAUUGUUGUUUGUAAGAAUAAUAUUCUUUUGCAAUAGAAUUAUUAGUAAGGUAGUGAGGUAUCCAUUCGUUGGCUGGCGCUGAGUUUGUCAUUUUUCCUACAAAACAGAAUUUGUUAGUUUUUUUAGAAAAAGGCAGGAGGGCAUUUGAAUCAAGAAAUUGGGGUAUUAUGCCCUCGUUUGUAGUAAGGUAAGGAAUAAGUUUAUGAAUGAGGGGUAUUCCAAAAAUAACAUUAUUGGAUAAUUUUUUGGCUAGAAGAAAAGUAUUUGGAAUGGAUAAGGAAAAGAACUGGAUUUGCACAUUUGUUAACUUGAAGUUAAUUUCAAGUUUAGAUCCAUUAGCUCCUCUUAGGAUUUCUUGGUUUUGUUCAAAGAAUUGAGGUGGGACAAGGCUUUCAAGAAUACAGUUUUGGUCUGCCCCAGUAUCAAACAGAGCUUCAGUUUCAAUUACGUAAUUGUUGUUAAUCAGUAAUCGGAUCUGGACCAAAUAAUCCUUGUCUUCCUUGGAUUUUUUAGAUAAUUGUUUUAGGAAUUCGGAAUCCUCCUGGUUUAUAGGUUCCUCAAUUGGUGUCAGGUUUUGAAGAACAAGGCUGUUAAGGUCUUGUUUGGCAUUAAUUGAUCUAAUUUCUUCUUUGAGUAGAUCAAUUUCUGUUUGAAGGUGUUGAAGAGCCAAACGUUUAAUAGGUUUGGAGGGAAACCUAUCAAGAAUAUCUGUGAGAUUGUAGGUUUUGAGAAUUCUAGGGUCUCCGGCUAAAGGAUUUGAAGAAUUUGUGGCUCGGUUCAAAUAGAGUUGUCUCUUCUCUAUUUCAGGAGUAUCUUCAAUGAUAUCAAGAAGAAGGUUUUGGUCUUUUGUUAAGAUAUUGAUGGUAGGACUUCUUUCUUCUUUGUCACUGGUGGGAUGAGAGGAAGAAGAUGUUGAAAUAUCAUCUUCUAACUAAUUGAGAUAAUCUUCUUCUCUUUCAGAAUCAUCAAUUUCUGAUUCGAUUAGAAGAUUUGAUAUUUGGGUUCUAACAUGGUCUUCUAAUCCUAAGGUACUGAUCCUUUGGUUGAGUUUACAGUAUUUGGCUAUAUGUCCGGGUUUGUGGCAUUUGUAGUAAACUGGAGAAGAGUUUGUUAUUUGAGGAGGUUGUAUGGGUAAAGGUUGUUUGGGUUGAAAUUUCUUUUUGUAUAAGGAUGGUUUUUCAAGAUGUUUUGUGAUUUUGGGCCGUUUGUGAAGUUUUUUGUAACAAUUGGGUAACCCAAACUAUUCACAAAAGGAUUCAAGGUCUUUUCUCCUUUGCUAGUUGUCUGAGCAUCUUGUCUUGUCUACACACUUUGAGUGCAACUUGUUGAAUCUGACUGGUUAACUGUCCAUAGGUUAUUUCCUCCUGAUAAGUGAAUAUUUAACGUGUAUUUUAUACAAUUUUGGCAUGAACUUUUGGUAUGUUUUAAGAAGAUUAAAGUCAUAUUUGAACUCUAUUGGUGAUAAUUGCUUAAAUAUUGUUUAAGUGUUCAAAACUUGAUAAAUGAGUGGAUUAAUGCGUUAAUUUUGUGAAAUUGUGAAGGAUAUCGAUGUAUGAAAUUCAUGCACGAGCUGAAAGAAGUGUAAGGAUUGUCCAAAGGAUAAAGUACACAAGAAAUUAGGAGCAAAAAUGAAGGAAAAAGGAAAGAAGUGAAAAAUUGAAAAUUUAAUGGCACGGAUCCGAGCUCGGAUCCGUGAGAGCAAAGAGGGAUCCGAACUGUGAGAGCAAAGAGGGAUCCGAACCCUCGUCUGUACUUCUGGAGGAGUGUAUCUGAGAUCAGACGAUCCGACCUUGGAUCUAUCAUGGGAAGUCCUCGGAUCCUGGAGAUCCGAGCUCGGAUCCAUUUUCACCCCUCGGAUCCGAGGCUCGAAUCUGUCUCUUUCUUAAGCAAGUGGCACAGUCAUUUUUCUUUACCUUUCUCACAACUUUUCCAGCUAUUUUAAGGGACAGAAAUCGGUGGCACAUGCUUCUGCAACAAAAGAGAAGACCAAAUGAGUUGUAGAUAAAAGGAAACAUCAUAUCUUUGACUUCUUUUUACAAAAUCUGAGUGGAGGAAAUUAUGAAGUGAGAGGAGUAGACUUUCUACCACUUCUUAUGCAGAGACACCAGGAAGAAGCAGAAAAGGACCAUACGUAGCUAGUUUUCCUUCUUUUAUCUAGUUUCUCUCUAGCUAGGAGUUCUGGGGGAAGUAUUUAAAGUUUUCACUUGUAAUCAUAUUGUGCAAGAGCAUGGCAGGAAUUGGAGAGCUUCACCUUCAAUUGGCUAAGCUUUCUUUUAUCUUUCUUGUACUUGUACUUUAUGAUGUUUGGCAUUAAUAAACUUGUGAGUUUGAUUAUUAAAUCAUUCAUGAGUAGCUAAACUUCUUAAUCUAGGGAGUAGAUGAAACUUAUGGUUAAAUAAUAUGAAUUGAAUGUGAUUUACACUUGUUAUAUCUUGUAUUAACUUGUCUACUUGUGUAACUGUGAUUACUUGUUAUUGAUUGAUCACUAAUAGCAUGUUUAUAGUUGUUAUUGUUCAAUGAGAAUUGGUAGUGGCAAUGGAAAAACAUGAGUAGAGCUUAAGUUGUAUGUUCAUAAAAAUAGAGAUACACUUAAGUGGAUUACUUAGCAUUGCAUGAAAGAAAACAAAGGAGUAUUAGUAUUUCACCAUGAAAAUAGGGAAAACUAAACUAGUUUAGGCCAUUUCAUCAUGAGAAUGAGAUUUGGUAAUUUUGGAAAUGAAUCUCUGGUUAAACAAGAAUAAUAACAGGACGCAAAUCCAUUCAUUUGUGUGUUUAUGCCAUAAGUGGAAUCUACAUCCCUAGAGUCUUUCUUAAGUAAGAAUUCUUUAUUUGCAUUUAGUAUUUGUUAAACUAGAUUUGUAGAUCAGAUUUGUAGAUUAUAGCAAUAAACUUUCUCUGCUCAAAUUUAUUGUAAGUCUAAAUAAUAGAGAAAAAUAAGGGUCUAGUACUUGUUUAAAUUGCUCCUUGUGGGAUCGACCCGAUACAUACCCUACAUUACAGUUUCGGCCUGUAUACUUGCAGCUAACGGGUAUAAAAAUCGGAUUUAAACUUGCAUUGAUAUAAAAAUCCCGUCACCUCCCAUGAUACAGUUUCAUUGUAUUGAGUCCUUAAUUCUUCUCGAACAAGGUCUCGUAAAGAUUUUGGAAGACCAUCAAGGAAUUUUUCUUUCCAAUAGGCCUUGUUGCCAUCUGUCCUGGAGUAUAUCCUAGUUAAGAAUGUAUCUUUGUACCAUCGAAAGUCUGAGAGGCUUUUGUAUUUGAGAUUGUUUAGUAGCUCCGAUGAUUUUUCCCUGAAUAUCCCUGGAUCACCUACAAAUGUUUUUGCAAUAGUGAAUAUUAAUGUUGCCACCGCAUCUGAGAUAGUGUCUUCAUCUCGAAGAAUAGGUUCACCAUUGGUUUCCACUUUAAUUGCAUUGAGAAUGUUGUCUUUGUCUUCCGUGGUAAGAUGUUCAUCCCACCAACCUUUUAGUUGCCCAGUAAAUUCUAUUAUUAGGAUAUGAGUAGCUAAUUGGUCAGUACAACCAUGUGAUGUUCGAUAGGCUAUUGCCACCAUUGUCAUUUGUUGAAGGAUUAUCAAAAUGUUGUAUUCAGAAAUUCCAUCUAUGCUCCAUUCAUAUAUGUUGUUAGCAUUAUAUGAAUUUUGUAAAAUAUUUAAUUUUUCUUCUAGAAGGAUGUCUGGAUAUGUGGCACUGGAAUAGUAUAGUUUUUGUGGAUUUUUUCAGUUGGUAAUCUGGUUUUGUGAAGAAAAAGGUUGAUGUAAUUUGUUUAAGGUUAAAGACUCUUGAGGUUCUCCUUUGGUAAUGGUGCAAGCUGUUUGACUAACACUUGCAGAACCUUGGUUAUUUGACCUUUGUUUGGAUAUUGGGGUAGAAAAUGAUUGUUCUAUUUUGGCUAUUCAUUUUUCUAAUUGGGUUAAGGGUUUGUUUUGAAGUUCUUUCUGAAAUUUGGUUGGUAUUUCAUGAGGUUUGAAAAUUGGGUUUGAUGAAGAAGUGGUUACAGAAGGAAUUUUGGGAAUGGGUUAGGUUAAGAGAUAUUCUCCAAGUGUUUGAAGGUACUUGUUGGUAUAAUUAUUUUGCUCAUAGAUUCCCUGAAUGUCUUUGCCAUUGAUUGCACUUUCAUCCUGGGUACUUUUGAGUUUGAAAGGUUUGGCAUUGAUCUCCGUUGAUUUGUAUGUGAAAGUGAUUGACUUUGGUGGUGGAAGUUGUGCUUGGAUUUCUCCUUCAGCUGUCUGCCACCUUGUUAUCACAUUUGUUGUUUGCGAAAAAGAAUAAUCAAUCCCUUUUCUUUGUGAAUAUACCUCAAACCAAUUGAAGAAUUGAAUGUGUUGUUUUGUUCUUCUAAGAAACCCAUAGAAAUCUUCUUGUAUUUUUUGUCGAUACUGUCCCUUGUACUUGUCAAAGAACCACAUUCUUUUUCAAUAAUUGUUGUCUGCAUAAAAUUCUGUUAUGAUACUUUGUCUAUCCAAAGAAAUCACCCUUAACUCAUCAAGUUGAGAACGACUCUCUGUUAUUGAAGAAUAUGUAGGAGAUCUAGGAAGUCCUUCUUGCUCCACAUCAUCAGAGGAUUCAUCUUGGACCUCUGAAGGAGUAGGUCUGCUAGUUGCAUACCUUGCCUGUGGAAUCUUAGAAGAAAGAUCUAGAUUUUGUAGUCUGGUUGAAAUGGAAGGAGUCAGUGGCCUGUCUGAAACUGAUCUUUUUUCUGUUGAGUAUCUAGGUAUGUCUAUACCAGUUGUUGAAGAAGAUGAUGCCUUGAAACUCAUAGAUCUGUCAAAUUUGAUUUGAACAGCUCCAAAAGCAAAUUGUUGGAUGUUUGAAAUUGUUGUAUUUUGUAUAGGAUCUGCUGGGGCUACUUCAGGAAGAACUCAGCUUUCUGAUAGUGAGAUCUGAUUCCAGGUGAUAGAUCUUGGAACUGUAAUCCGAGAUCUAGCCAAAUCUGUUUGAAAUAAGACUGUUUCUCUUUUUCGUAAUGUUUUUAAAGCCCCUGUUCUAAAAGCUGAAUUCAUAACUUUGUAUUGAAUUCUAUAAAUAAUAGCUACAGGAAGAGUCCCAGUUUUGACUCUAUAGUUAGCAAUUUUUAUGUUUAAUGUUAAAGCAUCUAGAAUAUUUUUGUCUUUUAAAGAGACUGUAAAGUUUGGAAAACAAUCAAAAUAUGUUGGUCCUCCACAAAGGCUAGUUUCUGACAUUUCUAGGAGGGAAUCAUUGAAUUCUAAGAAUAUGUUAUCUCUAAGACAAAGGAGUAGGGAUGUGUCAAAUCCUUCUCUUGUCAGAAGUUUAGCUGCAAUUUGUACUAAUCCAAAAUGAAUACAAUUGUAUUUUUCUUUAUGUUUUUCUAUUGUUCUUUUGGAUAAUAGUUUGAUUUCUUCAUGAUCAGUAUCUAAAGCUAUAGUUUGUUCUACUGUUUUAAUUGUAUAAUCUGAAGUGGAAAACAUCCACUUUCUAUCUCUUUUGUAUAUAUCAGUUUGAGUAUAUUUUGGAAUUUCCCAAUUGUUUAUGUCUUGAUUGACAUAUUGUAUAUGAAUUUCUUCUUUUAGUUUAGUGUUUGAAGAAGAACUAGAAGAGGUAGAAUUGGUUCUAAAAAAGGAAGCCAUAAACAAAGACAACUAAAAAUAAAAUAAGCUUAAAUAAAUGAAUGAACUUUAUAUUCCUCUUCCCUUUGGCACAGAAUCCUUCAGGAUCCAUGGAGAAUAACUAUUUUUCUUAAUCAAAUUAUAAAGGAUAGUGUGAAAAUUUACAAGAAAAGAUUUAAUCUUUUGAAAAAGAUUAACUAUACAUGAUGACCAUAUUUCCAUCAUAAUAAAGAUAAUAAUAAACCUACGAGAAUAGAUCUAAAUCCUCUGAGAAAGAUUAACUAUGCAUGACAACUAUAUUUCCAAACAAAAUCAUAAGAUUGAUAGUUAAAAUCCAUUUUCCCUGGAUCUGAUCUUUUGACACUUCCCCGUCCUGGAGCAUACCACCCCAAGAACCUUAACACCCUUACAGAGCCAAAUCCCCAUGGUCUUACCUGGACCGGAUGCUAGCACUUACUGGUUCCAUGCUCUUUAACCAAAUCCAAAGUCAUGAAAUCAAUACUAUCAAAAUUAUAAAGUGCUUGAAUACAUUAGAUAGUAAUCAUGAAAUUGACCAGUCUCAUCUAAUCAGAUCUAAACUUGUAGAUCUACACUAUCUCUGUAGCAUAAAUAAAGGAAUAUGGUAAUCACGAAGUUAAUAAAUCUCAUUAGAAGGAUAUAAACUUGUGGAUUUACACUAUCAACAUCAUAAUAAGUAAAGAAGGAUAGCCAUCUCCAUUUUCCCCUCUGGCUCUGAUACUAAUAGAUCUAAACUUGUAGAUCUACACUAUCAAUAGCAUAAAUAAAGAAAGAUGGUAAUCACGAAAUUAAUAAAUCUCAUUAGGAAGAUAUAAACUUAUAGAUCUACACUAUCAACAUUAUAAUAAGUAAAGAAAGAUAGCCAUCUCCCCACUUCCCCCUCUGGCUCUAAUACCAAAUGGGACUGGUCAACUUCGUGAUUAUUAUCUAAUGUAUUCAAGUACAUUAUAAUUUUGAUAGUAUUGAUUCAUGACUUUGGAUCUGGUUAAAAGGCAUGGAACCAGUAAAUGCUAGCAUCCGGUCCAGGUAAAACCAUGGGGAUUUGGCUCUGUAGGGGUGUUAAGGUUCUUGGGAUGGUAUGCUCCAGGACGGGGAAGUGUCAAAAGAUCAGAUCCAGGGAAAAUGGAUUUUUACUAUCAACCUUAUGAUUUUGUUUGGAAAUAUAGUCGUCAUACAUAGUUAAUCUUUCUCAAAAGAUUUAGAUCUAUUCUCGUAGGUUUAUUGCUAUCUUUAUUAUGAUGGAAAUAUGGUCAUCAUGUAUAGUUCAUCUUUUUCAAAAAGUUAGAUCUUUUCUUGUAAAUUUUCAGACUAUCCUUUAUAAUCUAAUUAUAAAAAAUGGUUAUCCUCCAUGGAUCUCGAAGGAUUCUGUGCCAAAGGGAAGAGGAUUAUAAGUUGCUUAAAUCAUAAGUUGUUUGAUUAUUUUAUUAUUUUGUUUAUGGCUUCACCAGUUAAAGCAUACUUCAUAUCUUCUGGUUCUUCUUUAAACAACAAACUUUUAAAUGAUCUCCAAACCAGAAUUGCUCGAAUUGAGCAUUCAAUUCUUAUUCAAAGAAAACAAGAAGAUAAAUCUCCUGAAUUCUAGAUUGACAAAGAAAAACUUAUAUCUGAAUUCUAUGCAAACCACAACUAUUUUAAAAGAAAACAAUUUUUUAACAAAUACCAGGGAAAAGCCCGAAAAAAUAUACAAGAAAACUUUUAUGAUUUUUUAGAAAAAACAAAACAGAAUAUUCAUUUCUUUGACUGGUAUGAGUCUCAAACAUCUAAGGUGUCCACACCACAACUCAAAAAUCCAGAUCAAAAUGCUUUAAAACCUGCUUUCACUAAAUCAAAAACUCAGGAUUUUACAUCAGAUCUUGUAGAGCCGGUCCAAACUAAGUUAAAAUCCAUAAAUCUAUCUCAAACAAUCCAUAUACCAGAAACCUCUCAUAAAUCCAUAAACCCAGCAGAUAUAGAUCUACCAGAUUCUCCUAAAGAAUUAUCAAACCUCUUGUCUAUUGAAAUUGCAAAACUUUUAUCCAAUCAACCAAUAGAAAAUUUUGAUCUUGAUAUUAAAAAAGAUAUAGGAAAAUCCUUAGACAUAGAAUAUUUCUCAAUAAAAGUUUUAACUAAAAUUCAAACUAGUUUCAAACUUGUUACUAUUAAAGAUCUUCAAACAGAAAAUACCUCUCUCAAUAGGAAAGUUAAAACAAUUGAGAAAAUAGUCCAAUCAACUACUAAAGAAGAUCCUUCUCAAUCAAAUAUAAUAUUUUACAAAAAAUAUUUUACUCUUAUAAGACUAGUUAUUAGUGACAAUAUAAUUGCAAAAACAGAAGGUUUAUUUGACACAGGAGCUGAUCUCAGUUGUAUUCAAGAAAGUCUUAUUCCAACAAGGUUUUUCGAAAAAACAAAAGAAAGCCUUAGAGGAGCCAAUGGUUCCCAAUUAAACAUUCAGUUUAAACUUUCAAAUAUUCAAGUUCAAUUUUCCUCUGCUUCCAUUAAAGAAACAUUUCUCUUGGCCAAAGACCUAACUAACAAUGUGAUUCUUGGAACAACUUUUGUUACCAAACUUAUUCCUUAUUUGACUACUGAGGAAGGUAUCAUACCCCAAAAAUAUGGGCAAAAUGCUCUCUUACCCUUCUCCAGAAAAACAAUUCAAAAAACAUAAAUUAUCUAUCUCUCAAACAUAGCCAAAUCAAUUUCUUAAAAGAAGAAAUUGCCUAUAAAAGGAUAGAUGAACUGCUCAAGAAACCAGAAAUCCAGCAAAAAAUUCAGAAUUUACAAACAAAAAUCCAAGGGAUAGUUUGUGUAGAAGUUCCACAUGCAUUUUGGGCAAGAAAACAGCAUACUGUCCAUCUUCCUUAUGAACCUGACUUUGAGGAAAAGGAUAUUCCAACAAAAGCCAAACCUAUACAGAUGAAUCAGGAGCUACUCCAACAUUACCAGAAGGAGAUUAAUGACCUCCUAUCCAAACGCAUUAUUAGUCCAAGUCAAUAUCCAUGGAGCUGUCCAGCGUCCUAUGUUAACAAACAAUCAGAGAUUAAAAGAGGAGUUUCUAGGCUUGUAAUGUGAGAACCAGUAAAUUUCUCAAUUUCUAGGCCUUAUUUUAUUUAUUUGCACAUCUUUUCCGCAUUUUCUUUAGUAGAAAAAUUUUCUAAAUAAUUUUUAUGGGUAAAUAUAGUUUUUAGACGAUUUUUCUAGUACCGGUUAGUUUUUAAGAAAUUAAGAGCGUAUACCGGACGUGGGACCCGCUAGCGCGAAAAGUUCGAAAAAAUUCGGCCAGUUAGGUUAAGUUUUGAAUAUCGGGUUUAUUUUAGCAGGUGUUAAGAGAUAACUAGAGGUUACUAAAUGGAUUAGUGUGAGAGGAAGAAAGAGAUAGCCAUGCAUUAAAUGGAGUGACAAGUGUCAUUUGGUGAUUAAUUCUUACAUUUUGACCACUAUUCACCAUUUUACCAAAUAAACCAAAAAUUGACCAAAAAUCUCUUCAUUUCAAGCUUCUCAUAGCCGGCCCUCUCUAGGAAGAAAAGAAAAGAAAAGCUCUCCAAUUUCUUGCUUCAAUCUUGCUCAAUUCAACAAACCAACCGAUUAAUCUUGUAUUUGUUCCAUAAAAAUCCUUAGGUUAGUGAUUGUGAGGUGAUUAGUGAAGUGAUUUGGAAGGAUAAGGUGCUAAGUGAUCUCUUUUCCUUGGUUGAUAAGGUGAGUAGUUCAGGAACCUCUUUUUUCUAUCUAAUGAUGCUUAAUUAGUGGCUUGUGGUAGCCUAAGAGGUGAUUUUGUGGGUUAUAUCAUGAUUUUGUUGAGAUUGGUGAAUUUUUCUAUUUAUUCCAUGAAUUUUUCUGUUUUAUAUGUGUAAUAUGGUGUGGCCAUGGAUGAUGGUUGAAAAUGGUUUAGAAUGAAGCCUUAGUGCGUAAAUUGUGGCUAUUUGCGGAAAAAUUUCUGCUUUGAAAGGAAAUUUCGGAAUUAGGGUUUCAAUUAACCACAUUCUGCCCGGUACUGUUUCCCUUAGUUAGAGGCUGAAUUAGCCUUGGGUUAAAACAUGAAAUUGUAGAGAAUAGUAUUUUAUAGUUGUCUGCAAAAUUUCAGACCAAUCAGAGCAACGUAGCCUAUGAUAACACUGAAAUACGCGUGCUGCCCUGUUUCUGUCCGAACCUGGUGAUCAGCUUUGGUAAUUGGUUAAUUUGAUUGGGAAUACUACUAAUUUGGUUGUUGAUAUCUUCUUAAGAAAUAUAGCCUGGUAUCUUAGCUUUCGGAUGGCUUUGAAAUCACUUGAAUUGGACUUCGGUAGCCUAAAUUAGGGUUAUUUAACCAGAAUGCGGUUCAUUAACCUGUUUAUACGGUUCUGGUUUAGUACAUUGAAUUUUGACUUAGUUGCACUACAAACUGGACUGAGUGGCCUUCUUCAACAUUGUAGCCCUUUCUGUUAGUUUCAAAAUGGUGUAUAUUGUACUCCCAUCCGAUAAUCGUAGCGCCAGUUGUGUCUAAUACGCUAAAUGACGUCAAAACUGUUUUUGGGUUUUAGAGCUAAACUUUCAUUUCCGGACUUUCUCUAGUUUACUCUAGCACUUAUAGUUCUAAUGGAACCUUAUUCUUGGUAGUAUGUGGAAUUGGUUUAUGACUUGUAAUAUAGUCUUAUUGUGCUUGUUUGAACAUUUUAGGGCGUGACGGUGAUUCAAGACGCUCUUUGGGCAGAAGUGUAUGAAAUUUCACUUGCUUGCUUGGUGAGUGUACUACUCACUUGCUUGUUACUAUGUGGAUUUGUUACAUUUGAACUUGAUAUCUUGAAUGCUUAUUUGCACCAUUGAAACUGAUUAAAGUGAGGGUGUACUUGAUCGCCUUCACCCCUUUUGUAUUAUAUAUGACUGUCUACUGUGGUACUUGAAUGGUACAUGAAAUACUGGAUUUGGUGUCGUUUGGACGAGUAUCCAACGGCCAUUACUAUCACUACUGAGUUCAACCCCAUUGGUAGUCGAUUGAAUCGAGCCAACGAGAGAUUGGUCGUGAAAAUUGACGAGCCAUGGGGACUGUUAUAUGGAAUCUUAUAGUAUGAGACUCUCGAUUCCGGUAUACUCGAGUAUUACCAAUUUUAUACUGAAUGGAGUUUGGACCCAGUAGGGGUAUGUUGGGUGGAAGGAAUGGAAGUAAAGUGAAGCCUACGGUUGGUUAUAUUGUAAUAAAGUCCGAUUAAGUAUACAAGCGAGGAAAGGGGCUUUUGAGAGCCGUCCGUAUCCUUUUAUCAAUUCUAUGGAUAUGUGCCCUUGGUUCACUUCCUACUAGAUGAAUUGGAAUGAAAUACUAUAUGCUUAUAUGAACUUCGUUGCUUGAAGUGGUAGUAUAUCACUGGGCGUAAUCUCACUCUAUCCCUUUUGUUUUCCUUACAGGAAUUUGAAUACUUUUGGAAUGGCUUUGAUAGUUGGUUGCCGAGUUGAGCUAGUUGAGAAUACAUUUUGUAUAGCUCCUCAAUGCAUGAAACCUUAGAUGUAUUUUGAUCCGUUCCCUCUUUUGAAUUGUAAGAUUGAACCCGUACAUGUGUACAUGAGUUUGGUAACUUUGGUAUGCUGUUUUGGCUUGUAAAUGCUAAAUUUCAAGGUGUAUAUGUUUGAUUGAUGUAUGGUUGGAUUUCGAACAGAUUCGAAUUUCAAACGGCGAAAGGAAAAAUUUUGGCGGGAAAGAACAGGGUCGAAUCCGACCAAGAAUCCGGCCAGAAACUGGCUUGAUUGGCAGCCGGAUUGACCUAAGAAUUUUUGGAAAUCCGGCUUUGCUCUCUGGCCAGUAUCCGGCCAAGAAUCCGGCCGGAAGACGUGUCAGUUACUAUUCAUGUUCGGCUCCGAUUUUCAUUUUUUUAUUUUUAUGAUUUUGACUUGUUUAAGCACACUUGUAUGUUCCGGAAUGUUUUAGCUCACUUUGAACUAUCUCGUUAGUUCUAGCGAGAGUUGGGCAGGCAGUCCGCUAACCCCUUUGGUUCGCCUUAGAGGAAGGUGGGGCUGUCACAGGUGGUAUCAGAGCCUAGGUUUGAAUUGGUUUGGGCGUGUUAGAAAUGCUCGACUUGAGGAUUAUUUUGAUUGUGUCCCUUAAGGUUAUUUAUGAUUAUUUACUCUUUUGGUAUAGGAUGGACGGGCAUAGUGGGCCUAGUGGUAGCCCUACUGGUGAGCGACCGCAUGGGGUGCUUCCGAUGAUUAAGUACCAGAUCCGGCCAAGAGGGGCUGUCGUGCAUUGGAGUUCGGCGAACCGCCUCCGACGUUAUGAGUGUCGUCACACUUACGCCUACCCUAACAUCUUAGUGUUGGCCGUGGCAGAGGAACAGAAGGAGUUGGCAAAAGAUAACGCUAGGCUCGAGGCCGAGGUAAACCAACUGAGGGCGGCCAACGAGAAACAAGCCAAGCGAAUCAAGGAUUUAGAGUACGAUGUGAUCGAGUGUGAAGAUAGGCUGGACGACCUCUGCGCUCAGUUUAGAGAGGCACGCGAGCGUAUGACUACGCGAGCUCAGAAGGUUAGGGUUCGAGCCGAGUCGAUCCUGAACCUCUGCGACGACUUGGUCGAGGAGGAAAGCAACAGGGCAUCGUGCACAGGGGCCGGGGCAGGAGGUGAACCCACCUCGUCGGGUGGAUCCAUUAGCCCAACUACGGAUUAGGUCGUACUUUUGGGGGGCCUUUUGGAGGUUUUUGACUAUUGUAUAUAGGAUGGAUAGGGAUGGAUAGACCUGGGAAAGAGCGUUAGCUAGCCGUUGUGUACGUUUGGACUAGCAAUGUGUAUAUUACUUUUGGUGAUGCCUUUCCCUUGUGGACUGUUUUGUUGUACCUGACUUGACUGCUUGAUGUUAUGUGCUUUGUUUUACUUGUUUGGAAUGUAUAUAUAUGCUUUGUUAUUAAAGUUUUGGGUUCUUAUUUGCUGGUAUGGUUACUUAUUGCUCUAGUUACGUUUGCCUAAAUUAAUAGAUUUCAUGGAAAGCACACGUAGUGGACGGGGACAUGGGCGUGGGAGUAGGUAACCUACGUCGGACCGGGGUGCUGGGGAAACCUCAUCGGGACCUAAUUCUGAACCGAGGGUUGACCCCAACGUGCAAAUAGUUGACGCUAUGCAGCAAAUGACCAACCUGCUGACACAAGUGGUGCAGCAACAGGGCCAAAGCCCGAACCCUAAUCCUGGAAAUCCUGGCAACCACGUCGGGAGCGAGGACAGAGCUCUCGAAAGAUUCCAAAAGUUUGCUCCACCCAAGUUUAUUGGGGGGUCCGAUCCGGAUAUAGCCGAAAGAUAGCUCGAGAAGAUGGUGGAUAUUUUUGCGGCCCUGCACUACACCGAAGAAAGGCAUGUGACUUUUGCUGUCUUUCAGCUAGAAGGGGUGGCCCAUUCCUGGUGGAAUGUUAUUCGGCAAAAAUGGAAACGGGAACAAAUGCCCAGGAUUUGGAUGAACUUUAUGCGGGAGUUCAACGCGAAAUUCUUCCCUCCUCUAGUCCAGGAACGGAAGGAAGAUGAGUUUAUCCGACUCCGCCAAGGGGCCCAGUCGGUAGCGGAGUACGAGAGUUAGUUGACCCGCCUAUCCAAAUUUGCUCCUGAGCUGAUCAUGACCGAACAACGUGAAAUAAGGCGCUUUAUCCAGGGUCUGAACGUAGAAAUCCAGAAGGAUCUCGUGGUGGCCCAGAUUAAUGCUUUUAGCGAGGCCGUGGAGAAGGCCCAACGGGUAGAGAGCGCUAGGGUUCAAGUACGGAACUUCCAGGCAAAGAAGCGAGACUUACCUGAAAGCAAUUCCGGGCAAGGAGAUAAAGGUACCCCCUCCAAGUUCGGACGGGGAGCUGGAGGUGGUUGAUAGUCGGGUUUCAGCCGAGGGGCUCAGUCCAGGGGUGGCUCAGCCGGGAGAGGCCAGGGCGGGAACUUCCAGAAGGGUUCAGGUUCGGCGUCCUGUGGGCCUUGUGGGUACUGCGGCAAGCCGAAUCACUCCGAGGAUAAUUGCUGGAAGAAGGAGGGCAAAUGUCUGUGCUGCAGAAGUGUAGACCACCGACUUGCCACCUGCCCAGUCCUAAAGCAAGACGAAAAGGGAGCCCAACGAGCGCCAAAGACUAAUGCGGGACCAGUUAAGGGAGACGAGACAAAACCCAAGGUACCAGCUCGAGUGUACUCGUUAGAGUCCCAACAGGCCCCAGAUUCCUCUGAGGUCGUAGAAGGUACGAUCCUUAUCUUCCACCGCUUUGCCAAAGUUUUAAUAGAUCCUAGUGUCACUCAUUCCUUCGUUAACCCUAAUUUCAUGUGUGGCAUUGAUAUAAAACCUGCUAGUUUACCAUACGACCUAGAAGUUAGUACACCUACGGGGAAUCAACGUUUGGUUACUAGUGUGGUUUAUAAGGAUUGUGAAGUGUGGGUAGGAGAGAAGAGAUUGUUAGGAGAUUUGAUAAGUCUGUCCAUCAUGGGGUAUGAUGUGAUUCUGGGCAUGGACUGGCUAGUUAGGUAUAAUGCCCAACUAGACUGUAAAAUGAAGGUGGUAGAGUUCCGCAUUCCGGGGGAGGCGACGCUACGGUUAGAUAUAAGGGGAAGAUUAGCCUCAUCUGUCCUGAUCUCGGACAUUCGGGUUAGGAAACUGUUAAAUCGAGAGGUGCAAGGAUUUUUAGCCUUUCUAAUCAACACCCCCACGGAUAAGUUAAAGGUAGAAGACAUACCCAUAGUAAGGGAAUACCCGAAUGUAUUUCCCGACGAGCUAGUAUCUUUGUCUCCGGAGAGGGAGAUAGAAUUCAAAAUCGACCUGUUACCUGGAACCUCGUCUAUCUCAAAAAUCCCAUACCGAAUGGCCCCUGCGGAGCUCAAGGAGUUAAAAUUGCAAUUACAAGACCUUCUGGAGCGGAGGUUCAUUCAAGAGAGUGGGUCUCUUUGGGGAGCUCCUGUCCUGUUUGUAAAGAAAAAGGACGAUAGUUUGAGAAUGUGUAUUGAUUACCGGGGUCUGAACAACGUUACAGUUAAGAAUAAGUACCCACUGCCCCAUAUUGACGAGUUGUUCGACCAGUUACAAGGAGCGGUGGUCUUCUCGAAAUUGGACCUCCGCCAGGGGUAUUACUAGUUAUUGAUUAGAAAAGAGGAUAUUCCAAAAACCGCUUUCAAUUCGAGAUAUGGGCAUUACGAGUUCGCAGUUAUGCCCUUUGGAUUAACCAAUGCUCCUGCCGCCUUUAUGGACUUAAUGCAUAGGGUUUUUAAACCCUACUUGAAUUGAUUUGUCGUGGUCUUCAUCGACGACAUUUUGGUUUAUUCGAAGACGCAGGAGGAGCACGAACAAUACUUGAGGAUCGUUUUACAAACCCUAAGAAACCAUCAACUGUACGCCAAGUUCAGCAAGUGCGAAUUUUGGCUGGAGAAAAUUUCUUUUCUAGGGCACGUAAUUUCUCAAGAGGGUAUCUCAGUAGACCCGGCGAAAGUAGAGGCCAUGACUAAUUGAAAGAGGUCAGAAAACCCAUCGAGAUUCGUAGCUUUCUAGGUUUAGCGGGAUAUUACCGGCGUUUCAUUAAAGAUUUUUCUAAGUUGGCCGGUUCUUUAACUGACUUGACGAAGAAGCAUGGUCGAUUUGUGUGGAAUGUCAAAUGUGAUGUGAGCUUUCAGGAGUUAAAGAAAAGGUUGACUAUGGCACCAGUUUUAGUCUUGCCUAACGGGGUUGAUGGAUUUGUCGUUUACACUGAUGCGUCACGAGAAGGCUUAGGGUGUGUACUGAUACAGAAUCGAAAUAUGAUAUUUUUUGCCUCUAGGAAGUUAAAAUCCCAUGAGCAAAACUACCCAACCCAUGAUUUGAAGUUAGCCGCGGUUGUUUUCGCUCUGAAAAAAUGGAGGCACUACCUAUAUGGGGUAACGUUCGAGGUGUAUUCCGAUCAUAAGAGGCUCAGGUACCUUUUCUCUCAAAAGGAAUUGAAUAUGAGACAGUGAAGGUGGAUGGAGUUUUUGGAGGAUUACGACUGUACCAUCAACUACCAUCCGGGGAAGGCGAACGUAGUGGCCGAUGCCUUAAGUCGCAAGGCUCAGGUAGCAGGGCUGAUGAUCAAGGAAUGGGAUUUGUUGGAAUCCGUUUGCGAGUGAAAACCCUGCCUUGGGAGUCAUAAGGUGAUUUUCGAUAAUAUUAGGGUAACCUCCACCCUACUGGAGCGGAUUAAAGAAGCUCAAAAGGGGGAUCCAAUGGUGCGAAAAUGGGGAGAGAAGGUGGAAAAAGGGGAAACGACUGAUUUCAACUUUAAUACUGAAGGUAUUUUAAAAUACCGGAACCGAAUAGUGGUGCCGAAAGAUGAAGCGUUGAAAACGGAGAUCUUAGAGGAGACCCAUCGAUCCAAGUAUACGAUCCAUCCGGGUAGUAGUAAGAUGUACCAAGACCUAAAAGGAGCCUAUUGGUAGGAUAAUAUGAAGAAGGAAAUCGUCCUGUAUGUACAGAAAUGUCUCGUUUACCAACAAGUUAAGGCGGAGCACCAAAAACCAUCAGGUUUACUACAACUCCUUGAGAUACCCGAAUGGAAAUAGGAGAACAUCACCAUGAAUUUCGUUUUAGGGUUGCUGCGGACGCAAAGAGGGCACGAUGCCGUUUGGGUGAUCGUUGAUCGAUUAACCAAGUCGACCCAUUUCUUGCCGAUAAACAUGAAGUAUUCCAUGGACAAGUUGGCUCAGAUGUAGCUGGACGAGAUCGUGAGACUACACGGCGUUCCGGUCAGCAUCGUUUCCGAUAGAGAUCCUCGUUUCAUAUCUAGGUUUUGGCAGAAAUUUUAAGAAACUCUAGGGACUAAACUCAACUUGAGCACCACCUAUCACUCUCAGACGGAUGGGCAAUCGGAGUGCACAAUUCAAACUCUUGAGAACAUGUUAAGGACCUACAUUCUGGAUUUUGGAGGUAAUUGGCGUCAACACAUGACCUUAGUGGAGUUUGCGUACAAUUAUAGCUAUCAUUCAUCGAUUCAAAUGGCUCCAUACGAGGCACUAUAUGGGCGAAAGUGCCGGUCACCGAUCUAUUGGGACGAAGUUGGCGAGAGGAAAGCACUGGAUCCAACAACUAUUCUAUGGAUGGAAAAAGCUCGAGAAAAAGUUAAAUUGGUACGACAACGACUCCAAACAGCUCAAAAUCGAUAAAAGAGUUACGCGGAUAAUCGAAGAAAAGAUUUGGAGUUCGAAGUUGGAGACCAUGUGUUUCUUAAAGUUACACCGUUACAGAGUGUCACGGCAGGUAGAGGAAAGAAGCUCCAACCUAGGUUUGUUGGACCUUACAAGAUUCUCCAAAGGGUUGGUAAGGUAGCGUAUCGCCUGGAACUACCGUCCAGUCUUUCUCGAAUUCACGACGUCUUCCACGUCUCGAUGCUUAAGAGGUACUAUCCCGACCCAUCCCAUAUCUUACAGUCAGAGGAAAUCGACAUAGAUGAAUCGCUCGCUUACAAAGAGAAACCUGUUCAAUUGCUUGACCGGAAAGUUAAAAAGUUGAGAAACAAGCAGAUUCCGUUGGUUAAGAUACUGUGGAAAAACCAUGGGGUAGAGAAAGUUACCUGGGAGGUGGAAGAAGAGAUGCAAAAGAAAUAUCCAGAACUAUUCGUGAAUCAAGGUGAGAAAUUUCGAGGACGAAAUUCUUUUAAGGGGGAGAGAGUGUGAGAACCCAUAAAUUUCUCAUUUUCUAGGCUUUAUUUUAUUUAUUUGCACGUCUUUUCCGUAUUUUCUUUAGUAGGAAAAUUUACUAAAUAAUUUUUAUGGGUAAAUAUAAUUUUUAGAUGAUUUUUCUACUACCAGUUAGUUUUUGAGAAAUUAAGAGCGUAUACUGGACGUGGGACCCGCUAGCGCGAAAAGUUCGAAAAAAUUCCGCCAGUUAGGUUAAGUUUUGGAUAUCGGGUUUAUUUUAGCAGGUGAUAAGAGAUAACUAGAGGUUACUAAAUGGAUUAGUGUGAGAGGAACAAAGAGAUAGCCAUGCAUUAAAUGGAGUGACAAGUGUCACUUGGUGAUUAAUUCUUACAUUUUGACCACUAUUCACCAUUUUACCAAAUAAACCAAAAAUCUCUUCAUUUCAAGCUUCUCAUAGCCGGCCCUCUCUAGGAAGAAAAGAAAAGAAAAGCUCUCCAAUUUCUUACUUCAAUCUUGCUCAAUUCAACAAACCAACCGAUUAAUCUUGUAUUUGUUCCAUAAAAACCCUUAAGUUAGUGAUUGUGAGGUGAUUAGUGAAGUGGUUUGGAAGGCUAAGGUGCUAAGUGGUCUCUUUUCCUUGGUUGAUAAGGUGAGUAGUUAAGGAACCUCUCUUUUCUAUCUAAUGAUGCUUAAUUAGUAGCUUGUGGUAGCCUAAGAGGUGAUUUUGUGGGUUAUAUCAUGAUUCUGUUGAGAUUGGUGAAUUUUUCUAUUUAUUCCAUGAAUUUUUCUGUUUUAUAUGUGUAAUAUGGUGUGGCCAUGGAUGAUGGUUGGAAAUGGUUUAGAUAUAUGUCCUUGGUUUACUUCCUACUAGAUGAAUUGGAAUGAAAUACUAUAUACUUAUAUGAACUUCGUUGCUUGAAGUGGUAGUAUAUCACUGGGCGUAAGCUCACUCUAUCCCUUUUGUUUUCCUUAUAGGAAUUUGAAUACUUUUGGAAUGUCUUUGAUAGUUGGUUGCCGAGUUGAGCUAAUUGAGAAUACAUUUUGUAUAGCUCCUCAGUGCAUGAAACCUUAGAUGUAUUUUGAUCUGUUCCCUCUUUUGAAUUGUAAGAUUGAACCCGUACAUGUGUACAUGAGUUUGGUAACUUUGGUAUGCUAUUUUGACAUGUAAAUGCUAAAUUUCAAGGUGUAUAUGUUUGAUUGAUGUAUGGUUGGAUUUCGGACAGAUUCGGAUUUCAAAUGGCGAAAGGAAAAAUUUUGGCGGAAAAGAACAGGGUCGAAUCCGGCCAGAAACUGGCCGGAUUGGCGGCCGGAUUGAUCUGAGAAUUUUUGGAAAUCCGGCUUUGCUCUCUGGCCAGUAUCCGUCCAGGAAUCCGGCCGGAUUCUGACGUGUUAGUUACUAUUCAUGUUCGGCUCCAAUUUUCAUUUUUUUUAUUUUUAUGAUUUGACUUGUUAAAGUACGCUUGUAUGUUCCGGAACGUUUUAGCUCGCUUUGAACUAUCUCGUUAGUCCUGACGAGAGUUGGGCAGGCAGUCCGUUAACCCCUUUGGUUCGCCUUAGGGGAAGGUGGGGCUGUCACAUGUAAUCAAUUACAAAGCCUUAAACAAAGCUCUUCGAUGGAUCAGAUAUCCCAUACCUAACAAGAAGGAUCUACUUCAAAGGCUUUAUUCUGCCAAAAUAUUCUCAAAAUUUGAUAUGAAGUCGGGAUUUUGGCAAAUUCAGAUUCUUGUCUCAGACAGAUACAAAACAGCAUUCACAGUACCAUUUGGGCAUUACGAAUGGAACUUAAUACCAUUUGGACUUAAAAAUGCUCCUUCUGAAUUCCAAAGAAUUAUGAAUGAGAUAUUCAGUCCUUAUUCCUCAUUCAUCAUUGUCUACAUUGAUGAUGUUCUAGUUUUCUCAAAAAAUAUUGAACAACAUUUCAAACACCUAAAUACCUUUCUUCAUAUCACCCAGAAAAAUGACCUUGUUGUCUCUCAAAAGAAAAUUAGCCUCUUUCAAACCAAAAUUAGGUUUCUUGAACACCAUAUUCACCAAGGAACUAUUACCCCUAUAAAUAGAUCAAUUCAGUUUGCUAAUAAAUUUCCUGACCAAAUUUUUGACAAACAACAACUUCAAAGAUUUUUGGGUUGUCUAAACUAUGUAUCAGAUUUCAUACCAAAUAUUAGUAAUUUAGCUAAACCAUUAUAUGACAGAUUAAAAACUACUCCACCCUUAUGGACUGAUAUUCAUACUAAGACAGUUAGAAAAAUCAAAACUGAAUUCAAAGCCAUUCCCUGUCUUGUUCUUCCAGAUCCAACAGCUCAAAAGGUUAUGGAAACGGAUGCUUCAGAUUUAGGAUAUGGUGGUAUUCUUAAACAGACAAAAAAUAAUAAAGAACAAAUAAUUGCUUUUGCUUCUAAAAAUUGGAACAAUUCGCAGCAAAAUUAUUCUACUAUCAAAAAAGAAAUUUUAGCAAUAGUUUUAUGUAUUACAAAAUUCCAAACUGAAUUACUAAAUUAGAAGUUUUUACUUCGGGUUGAUUGUAAAUAAGCUAAAGAUGUUUUACAAAAAGAUGUUAAAAAUCUUGCCUCUAAACAAAUCUUUGCAAGAUGGCAAGCAAUUUUAUCAAUUUUUGAUUUUGACAUUGAAUACAUUAAAGGGUCUUCGAAUUCUGUUCCUGAUUAUCUAACUCGAGAAUUCUUGCAGAGAAGAUAAGAUGCCCAAGAAAAAGAAACAACAGGAGAAAUCCUCAGAUAAACCAGAUCCCUCUUCUCAAACAACCAAACAAGACUCUUCGAGUUCUUCCAGUUCAUCCCAAACAGAAAAGAAGUUAUCUUCUUCAAACUUAACUCCAAACAGGUUUCAAACUCUUUCUUCUCCUCAACCCAUAUCUAUAGCCUCUCUUAAAACAUGGGUUGAUAUAGCCAAAGAAGAAGAUGAAAAACAAUUAUGCUUUGAACACCUCAAACAAUGGGUUGAAUCACAUGGAUACCAACCUGAAUCACCAGGAUACCCUAUUUGGGAUACACCAAAUCAUCUCAAAAUAGUUUUGGCUCAAAAUUUCAAACCAAAACCUCUUGUUAUUCAAGAACAAAAACCCAAAUCACUUACUAUCCAAGAACCCAAAACCCUAGUUAACCUUGAACCAAAACCAAACAAAGUUUCUUGCCCCUAUAUCAAAUCAAGUACCCAUAUUCCUGUGGUUCAAACUGAACUUGAUUGUUGGCAUAAUGAUCCAAACCUCCUGGCCCAAGCUAUUUUGCCAGAUACUUACAAUUUUAUACCUCAAACUCUUACCAAGACACUUGAGUAUUACAAACUUAUUCUCACGGAUUCAAAGUCUCUAAUCCUUAAACCUCACAAUACAGAAAUGAGAGAAAAGAACGGAAAUCCUACUGGAAAAUACAUCAAUACUCAUUCUAGUUCCCAGAUUCUAAAGGUUAUUAAGCCAUUAGAAUGGGGAACAAACCUAAGUAAACCCAAACCUUUUACUACUUCCCUUAAUCCCCCAAGAUAUACAUAUUAGGAUUAUAAGGCAGCCUGGUUCUAUACAUUUACCUUUCAAAAUGAACUAAACCAACAUUCUUAUCUUUUCUAUUUUUUGAAAACAAACAAAUAUGAAUUCCCAACAUGGUUUGUAGCAUGGUGGAAAGCAAUUGGACUUAAUCUGGAAAUUCUUCCUCCAGAUAUCCGACAAAGCUACAACCAUUUGAAAAAAGAUUUGAACCUCCAAACAACUAUAUACCAAUCAACCUGCACUUCUUUUCCAUAUUCUCGGUAGCAUGGGUCUACCAGUGAAAAUAUGAGUAUAUACAGCAAACACAAAUCACUGAUAAACAAAAGUUGUCAAGCAACUCAAAGAUAUACUUCAGCAACUGGAUCAAUCAAAAGAGACUUCAAACAAAGAAGAGGCCUCCAAUUCCGGAACAAAACUUGAGGAAUACGAAGGUCUAGAAAAUGAAGAUGAUUGUUAUGGAAUUUUCUCACAAAUUUCAUAAAAAUCCCAAAGACAAACAAAAUACUUCUACUGUAGCAGUCUGGCAAGUUACGGUGCAAACACGGCAACAAAAGACAAACAAUGCACUGUAGCACUAUGAAACAUUUUGCUAUAAAUACCCCUCAAACCCAACACAUUCCACACACAAUUCCAACACCAUUUCUUCAAGACCACUUCUCUCUCUAGUUUGAAGAACCUCUCCUCCCUCUCUCUACAAACAAGUUCUUAGUUUUUAUAUUUUAGUUUUUAGAUCAAACAAAGGAGCUUGGUACAAGCUUCAUAUCCUUGUAAGUUUUCUUUUAUUUUUGUAAUUCUUAUAUUCAAUCAAAUGGUCGGUUGAGCCGCCUCAUAUCCAUUUAAUUCUUGUUUUUACAUUCUGUCUUUACAUUCUGUUAUACAUGACUGGUUCAACCACCUAUACUAACUAGUGGCAGUCCGACUGCGACCCACUUCUUAAUCUUUAUGCUUUCAAUUCCCUCUGCUUUCCUUUCUUUCCUGGUUUAAGGGGCUAACCCCUCGUCCUGUCUGGUAUCAUUUUAAACAAAAUAUUUAUAUUUAUAUAUAAAUAUAUAAUAUUUAUUGCAAUUGAUAUAAUAUAUAUAAUAUACAUAAUUAAAAUAUACAUAUUAAUAUUAGUAUAAUUUAUAUAUAAAAAAUAAUAUACAUAAUUGAAAUAUACAAAUUGAAAUAUACACAUUAAUAUACAUAUUAUAAAAACCAAAAUGAAAUAAAAAAUAUUAUAUAUAAAUAAAUGUAUAUAUAUAUUAUAAAAUGAAAUUGAAAUCGAAAUCGAAAAAUCUGAUUUCUAUUUUCGAUUUCAAAAACUCCAUUACCGAAUUCGAACCAAAUUCGCAUAAUUCGAAAUAAAAAAUUCUGAAUAAAUAUGUAAAAUUGGAGUUGUUUUUGAUAUAUUGUUUGGAUAUAGUGUUUUUGGAGUUAUUUUUGUUUAUGUAUUACUGUAGCAUUGUAGAUGAAAAAUUUUUUUUCAAAAAAUGCUGAAUCCAAACAGAGCCCAUGUAUUUUUCUUUUUUCUUUUUGUCAGCAGUUAAUCAAGAGGGGAAUCUAAAUAGAAUUUUUCCUAAAUUUUUAAGUAAUUGCAAACAUAGUUACACGAAAAAACCUCGUCAUUACACGGUCACAUAGCCGAGAUUCAAGAAAUAGUGUAAACAUGAGUACACAUCCUGAAUCGUUCGAGGUGUUAAACAAAUUUCAAUCCCAAAGGCACAUGAUUGCUAGCAGCAGCGGUGUACAACAUGAUCCCUUACGUGCUGGUCAAACUGAACCGCAACCACUACCCCUACCCUAUAUUCAAACCUCUUUUACUCCAUAUUUCGUAAAUCCACCUGAGGAAGCUUUCAUACAUCCCACUUAUGGCCUACCACAUACCUAUAUAUCUAAUAUCCACAUCAAUUCUCCUCACACUCAAGCUCCUCAAAAAAUUAUCCACUUGUUGGACCAUUGAGAUCCCUCCCUCUUGAAGGAAAGUUUCGAUAAAUUUAGGGAAUUGUUUUGGCUAAAAUCAAUGAAAAAUCAUUCAUACGUGUGUCUUUUGUUUUAUUAUAUUUUUUGUAAAUAGUUUUCAUUCAAGUGGCUUUUGAAGACACGUUUCGUUUAGCAAGUAACAUGAUAUUAAGUUUGAUUUUUCUUGAAAUGCAAUAAAAUGUACAGUUUUUUAUAUACUGUGUUACUUACACAUUCUUUUCAGAUGGCCCAUAAUAAAAUCUCCCGACCCUUUGGAUAUUACCAUUUCGGAAUUUGAUGGCUGUAAUCUCGAUACCGCAUGAAUGUAAGAAUAGCGAGAAGGUAUCCGAACAUACUUCAAAGAGAUUCGAGGGAGGAACUCAAACGAAUAGGGAUCAAGAUGAAGGAAAUAAAAUUAGUAGUCACUUGAAUAAAAAGCAGAAAAAGGAGGCUGAUGGAAAGUAGUGUCAAGAACAAUAAUCUUUAUUUGACAAGAAGCAACCAAAUGCAAUCAAAAGGAGCGAUCCCGUGCUUACAAUAAAAGGGUCAAAUCGUAACUACUCAAAAAAGAGACAAAAUGUUGAGGUAACUGUUGUCGGUGCAAGAUUGGAAAGGGUUUGUUGUUAAAAAAAAGAGGAAAAGAAAAGAAAAAUGAAGAGUAUUGCCCGGCGGAUCACUUAUGUUUCACAGAUAUGAAUAAACAUGAGUCUUCCUCAAUCAAUUAAUUCAGAUACAUGCAAGAAAUUUCGCAUUAAUGGAAGUUUCCUUUCAGAGUUAAUGUAAGGAACAAAAUAAAAGUCAGGCUCUCUUCUUUUCCCAUCAAACAUUCUAUUUAUAAUUACCCCUUUUGAACCUUCAGAAUGAUCAUUUCGUUUGGCAACCCCUGAGAAUCGCAAACUCCACACUGGGACAAAUUUGAAUUUUAACAGAAGAAAACUAGAAAAGAAAGGAAAAACUUCAAAAGAUGAUGGGAAGGCAGAAGGCCGAAAGAAAGGAAAUGAAAGAAAAAAGAACCUCGGUUAAGUAUAAAUUGGGGCAAAUUUUGAAAAUUUCAAAGGAAUGGCAGAAGGCCGAAAAAAAGGAAAUGAAAGAAAAGAGAUCCUAAGUUAAGAAUAAAUUGGGACAAGUUUUGAGUUAACCCUAAUAUAGGGUUGAUGCAACAAUGUGAUUUCAGAUCAUUUAAAUCACUUUUGAAAUCCGCUUUCAAACCUUAACUUUUCUAAAUACCCCAUCUGACCCCAUUACAAAAGUCAAAAAUCCUGACUUCUGUUCUUUGUAAUAUCUUUGUCAAAAAAUUUGCUAAUUAAUUGACAUAUGAUAUUUAUAUACUGAUGCCAGGAAAUUUUUUAGAUGUAUUUUUGAAUUAAUUAAGUGUGAGGUUGACACUACUCAUCAUGUGAAAACCCGCAAGGACGCUUUUAAAAGAGAAAAGGAGAAAGGAAAAAGAAAAUCAAGAAGGAAAAUAGGGAAAAAAGAGAAAGGAAAAGAAAAACAAAAGGAUGGAGGAUAAUCUUGAUAAAAACCCGAAAUGACGCUAAGGUAGGGUUGCACAAAAAGAGCAAAGGUGAUUCAGUUCAUUGGGAUUCCUUUUCACAUUGUGAUUUUUCUGCUGGCAUUGAAUUUCGGACAGACGAUAUCCAAAGGGUCAAACGGGGCACUUUGUUAGAGGCCAAAGUAUUUUGGUCAUCAACGCAGAUUGCUGAAUUUGUGAUUCAUUUCUUUAAAGUCAUCUUUUUCUUUCAAUACAAGUCGAUGGUUAUUUUUUUGCAUUACUUUGAUUUUUGACAUUUUUGUAUAAAAAAUUUUUGGGUGUUGUAUAGUUUCAUUUGUCUCAUUGGAUUUUAUCAAAUGACAGUUUUCUCAAUUUAUCGAAAGGUGCAUAUAUACAAGUUUUCAUGUUAAGUUAGCAUUGGAAGCUAAGGCAAUUGGGAUGCAAUUUGCGGUACAAUGUCGGGUUUUGCAGCAUCGAGGAAAAACAUCAAAAUACUCAUUUUUAUAUGUUUCUCGAAAGUCGGACAGAUCGAAUGGUGGUAACAUUAUUUUGAUUGUUUCACAUAGCAAAACUGGGAAAAAUUAUUUUUGUAAUAAAGUCAGGGAAUGUCGCCCAACAAUUAAACAUUUAGGAUUCAAACAGAAGAGAAAAUGUGAAUCAAGGCCUUAAGGAGGAGCAGCAAUCGCACAAUGCAAAGCAAAUGAUUGAUUGUACAAAAAUUGAUUUAAAUUGGGGCAAUUUUUGAAAAGAUUUUUCAGGUAAGUAUUCAAGAACUUUUUCAUGCACUAACGUGUUUUUUUUCUUUCACCGUUAGUAUCGAGUUUUACUCACUAACGUGUAUUGUGUUUUUCUUUCGCCGUUAGCAUCGAGUAUAUCUCACUAAUGUGUUUUUUCUUUCACCGUUAGCAUCGAGUUUAUCUCACUAACGUAUUUUUUUCUUUCACCAUUAGCAUCAAGUUUAUCUCACUAAAGUAUUUUUUCUUUUACCGUUAGCAUCGAGUUUAUCUCACUAACGUGUUUUUUUUCUUUCACCGUUAGCAUCGAAUAUAUCUCACUAACGUGUUAGCAUCUGUUAGCAUCGAGUUUUACUCACUAACGUGUGUUGUGUUUUUCUUUCGCCGUUAGCAUCGAGUUUAUCUCACUAACAUAUUUUUUCUUCCACCGUUAGCAUCGAGAAUAUAUCACUAACGUAUUUUUUUCACCUUUACCAUCGAGUUUAUCUCACUAACGUAUUUUUUCUUUCACCGUUAGUAUCGAGUAUAUCUCACUAACGGGUUUUUUUUCUUUCACCGUUAGCAUCGAGUAUAUCUCACUAACGUGUUUUUUCUUUCACCGUUAGCAUCAAAUUUAUCUCACUAACGUGUUUUUUUCUUUCACCGUUAGCAUCGAGUUUAUCUCACUAACGUAUUUUUUCUUUCACCGUUAGCAUCGGGUCCAAUACACUAACGUGGCUUCUAUCACUGUUUCCAUCAGGUCUAACCCACUAACGUGACUUCUAUAUCCAUUAGUAUCGAGUUUAUCUCACUAAUGUUAUUUUUUUCACUGUUAGCAUCGAGUUUAUCUCACUAAUGUAUUUUUUCUUUUACCGUUAGCAUCGAGUUUUUCUCACUAACGCGUGCUGUAUUUUUCUAUCACCGUUAGUAUCGAGUUUUUCUCACUAACAUGUGUUGUGUUUUUCUAUCACUGUUAGCAUUGGGUUCAUCCCACUAACGUGUUUUCUUACCUCGGCAGGUUUGGAUUUUAUUCCACUGACCGUUAUAUCGUUGGGAUCGGAUUUUAUCCCAUCAAUCUCGGCAGGACCGGGUUUUAUCCCGCUAACCGUUUAAAUGAUCCCACCAACCUCGACAGGAUCGGAUUUUAUCCCGCUGACCGUUUAUAUCUCGUUGGAAUCGAGUUUUAUCCCACCAAUCUCGGCAGGGUCGAAUUUUAAUCCGUUGAUCGUUUGUAUCUCAUUGGGAUGGGAUUUUAUCCCACUGACCUUUUCUUUUUAUGUUUUCAGUUCAAGGCAGAAUAACUACAGGUAAGUAUUUGGUGCCUACGCCCUUGCCUCGUAUUUCUUCGAAAUCCAGAUAAAGAGAGGCAAGCUGUAGACAUCAAAAUUUCAUAAUUUUAUUUUAUUCGUUUUUAUUCAUAAUUUUGUUUAUUUUAUUGAUUUUUAUUUUAAUUUAUUUUGUUUUCCUUGAGAAAAAUCAUUUUAGAAAAUCGAAAAAAGAAAAUUGGAAGAAAAAGAAUUAGAAAGAAAGAAAGAAAGGAAAAAUAGAAAUGAAAUGAAAAUCAGUUUUUGUAAAAAAAAAAAACGACUUUUCCACGCUCGUGCGCCAUUUCCUUCAAUAUUGGUACGAUAGCUUCAGUGCUAAAGAAAAAAAUUGCAGCGGCCAUUUGGGGAUUCAAUCCCACUUGUUUUUGUUUUUUUUCUUUUCCCCAACUAUUUGCCACCUUAUGUCCCUAAUCUAUAUCAAGAUCUUUCUGGAAAAAUAAACGUCCAAUGGCUCAAGUAUUUUGAGGAAACCCACCCUUCAUCCUCACCUUUGAGGUGAGGGUUUUGGGGUUCUUGGUUCCUAUAAAAUGGAUUAAAAAACAUAGCUGAGAGAGGAGGACGGAAGUAGGGAGAAAGGAGUGGCGGCUGGAAGGAAAAAACUAAAGAGCUACGGGCUGAGAGGAGGAAGAAAAAGCAGAAAAAAAAAAGAGAGAACGGAGAGAGGAAAACUAAGAGAGUUUCGAGGGGUGGAAAUCUGGAAAAAAAAUAGAAAAACAGAAGGAGAGAGUGAGAGGGAACCAAGGGAAACCAAAAAAGAGGAAGGAAAAGGACUGGGGAAAACUAGAGGAGGGGGUUUCGGCUGAGAGCUUUGGAGGAAAAGGAAGGGAAAGAAAGAAGACUACGGUCUGAGGAACCAAGAAAGCUGGGAGGAGAGCUACGGACAAGAAAAGAGACAAGCGAGGGAGGAGAGAAAAGGACCAAGAGAAAGAAAGAAAGGGGUUGCAGCGGAGAGAUCAGGGAGAGAAACCAACAAAAAAAGAUAGCUACGGGCAAGGAGGAAAAAGGCUGGAAAAUAGCAGAGGAGCUGAUGUUAGGGUGGUUAUUUAAAUUUAACCACUGGUGAAAAUCAUCACCUUUAAACCCAAGAUAUGUAUGGCGAUUAUUAAGAAAUACAUUAACUGUAAAAUAGCAGAAGCGUACCUGAAUUCAUAUUGAUAAACUUGAUACUUGAAUCCCUAAAAAUUCGGGGUGGCCUUCCAGGUCAACAGGUAUUCACCGAUCCUUUGAGAGAAGUCUUUAGUUUCUUUUUGGUAUCUUUCCUGACGAUGGGAUAUCAGGGAAGAGCUAUUUUAUGGUAUUAGGGAAUACGACAACUAGAAUGAUACCUGUGACCUGGUGACCAUAACUCUAUUUAUAGGUAACAUUCUUGUUACCUUUUGGAUCCCUAUUUCAACCCAUCAUUGAAAUAGAAGCCCAUAAGUUUCUACACAUUAAAGGACCCACAUCCUAUUAGAUACAUUAAACCUAAACUAUAUUUGAUCACUUUAAUUGGGUUUAACCUUAAUUGAUAGUUUGCAAUACAUAAUUAUUCACAUAUAAGUCCAAUGUUGGAUUAAGAAUCCAACAAUCUCCCACUUGGACUAUAUGUGUAACCUUAUAAUUAUGUUUUGUAAUUAAUCGUAUGAGCUCAACUUUACUGUCAUUAUCACAAUGUAUCUGUAACCAAUUCGGUCCAUCAAUUACACCAAUAUAGGAUUAAAGCGGCCUUUGUUACAAUUUCGUAACUCAACCUAUCAAUGGUCACAUAUAUCAAUGCAAUUGAAUGACAUGAAUCAUGAUGUGGAUGUGUAGCAUGAAAAUUUCAUGUAAUGUGAUCAAAACAUGCCUAUUUCCAACUGGUCCACCUUAAAUUUUAUGAGAUCAAACUAUACCAAGGUUAGAGUGUAAAUAAAUCCAAACCUUAUUUAUGCAUAAAAUAUUCUUAAAUCCUUAAUAACCAAAACCAUCAUAAGAGCAUUCAAAAUAACAAACUCCCACUAAAACUGUACAUCAUUUAAUAAUAUAACACCCAUACGAGCAGUAUGCUCAUAAAACAUUUUGGGUGGCAAUCCUUUAGUAAGCGGAUCCGCAACCAUGGAGUUUGUUCCGAUAUGCUCUAUCGAUAACUGCCCAUUCUGCACUGUUUCUUUAACAGUCAGGAACUUGAUAUCUAUAUGUUUAGAUUUCGUCGAGUUCCUGUUAUUGUUGGAAUAUAGGACUGCUGACUUAUUAUCACAAAAUAAUUUGAGUGGUAUUUCAAUACUAUCUACCACACGUAAUCCUGUGACGAAAUUUUGCAGCCAAAUUCCUUGAUUGGAUGCCUCAUAACAAGCAAUAAACUCUGCAGCUAUAGUGGAAGAUGCUAUGAGGAACUGUUUAGAACUCUUCCAGAAUAUGGUAUCUCCAACCAACAAGUACACAUAGUCUGACGUUGACUUCAUAGUAUCUUGGCAUCCAGCAUAAUCAAAAUCAGUAUACCCAACGAUCUCUAACUCAUCUAACUUCCGAUACGUGAGCAUGUAGUCUUUUGUUUUCUGUAGAUACCGUAAGACCCGUUUGGUUGCUUUCCAAUGAUCCAAUCCAGAAUUACUCAAAUAUCUACCCAACAUCCCAAUAAUGUACGUAAUAUCCGAACGUGUACAUACUUGAGCAUACAUUAGACUCCCUACUGCUGAGGCAUAAGGAAUCUUUUGCAUCUUUCUUUCCUCAAAAGUAUUCUUAGGACACUGCUCAAGACUAAAUUUGUCUCCUUUAGCCACAGAAGUGUCACCUGGUUUAUAAUUUUGCAUGCCAUAUCUUUUAAGAACCUUUUCGAUAUAAUCCUUUUGUGAUAGUUCUAAAAUACUCCGAGAGCGAUCAUGGUGUAUCUGUAUGCCUAACACAAAAGAUGCAUCACCAAGAUCUUUCAUCUCAAAAUUCUUAGUUAGAAAUUUCUUGGUUUCAUGCAAUAGAUUAAUAUCGUUGCUGGCAAGCAAAAUAUCAUCAACGUACAAUACCAGAAAAAUAUACUUGCUCCCACAGAACUUAUGGUAUAUACAAUCAUCCACUAAAUUCAUCUCAAAACCAAAUGAGAUGAUCACUUGAUGGAAUUUGAAAUACCAUUGUCGAGACGCUUGUUUGAACUCAUAGAUGAAUUUUUUAAGUUUGCAAAUCAUAUUCUUUGGAUCUCCUGAUACAAAGUUUUCUGGUUGCACCAUAUAAAUUGUCUCAUCAAUGUUACCAUUGAAAAAUGCUGUCUUUACAUCCAUAUGAUGUAACUCAAGAUCGAAAUGUGCCACUAAUGCCAUGAUAAUUCUAAAAGAGUCAUUUGAAGAGACUGGAAAGAAGAUUUUUUUAUAGUCGAUACCUUCUUUUUGUGUAAAUCCCUUAGCGACAAGACGAGUUUUGAAUCUUUCCACAUUGUCUUUCGAAUCCCUCUUGAUUUUAAAUAUUCAUUUACAACCAAUGGGUUUCGCACCUUCUGGCAAUGGGACAAGAUCCCAGACAUCAUUGUCCUUCAUGGAUUUAAUUUCCUCUUUCAUGGCAUCAAUUCACUUUUGAGAAUUUGAACUUUCCAUGACUUGACGGAAGUUGAUUGAAUCAUCUUCCAUCAAUCCAAAAUCAUCCUCAUGUUCUUGGAGAAAAAUAAUGUAAUCAUCUGGCACUGCACUUCUCCUUUCUCUAGUGGAUCUUCUUAAUGGCAUUGGUUCUUGAGGAGGAAGAGUUUGUUCUUCUAUAACAGUUUGCUCUUCGACAUUAUUUUGAUUUGUCAUGUCAUGAUCAAAUUCAGGAAUAGGGUCCUGAACAAGAGCAAUGACACCUGUGGGAAUAUUAAUAUAUUUCUCUUUAAAGAAAAUGUCCCGUACUAUAUUUUCUCCCCCAAACUCGACAUCCUCAAAGAACCGGGCAUUUCCUGUCUCAAAAAUUGAUUUAGUUGUAGGAUCAUAAAACUUGUAACUUCUGGAUCUUUCAGAGUAUCCAAUAAAAUAACAACUAAUCGUUCUUGAGUCCAGUUUCUUUUCAUUUGACUUGUAAGGUCUUGCCUCAGUUGGACACCCCUAAACAUGCAGAUGCUUUAAAUUGGCUUUUUCCCUGUCCAAAUCUCAUAAGGGGUUUUGAUAGUUACUUUAGUUGGAAUCCUAUUAAGGAUAUAUGCUGCAGUCUUAAGUGCUUCACCCCAGUGUGACUCUGGUAAGGUAGAAUGACAUAUCAUACUUCUUACCAUGUCUUUAAGCAUUCUAUUUCGUCUUUCAACUAUACCAUUCAUAGUGGGUGAACCCGGCAUAGUGUACUGUGGGACGAUACCGCAUUCCUCUAGGUAUUUAGCAAAUGGUCCUAGACGUUAUUUACCUGAACUGUCAUAUCUGCCAUAGUACUCACCACUACGGUCAGAUCUGACGCUUUUAAUUCUUUUGUUGAGUUGAUUCUCAACUUCAGUUUUAAAACUUUUGAACACGUCCAGUGACUGUGAUUUUUCAGAAAUGAGAUAUAUGUAGCCAUAUCUUGAAAAAUCGUCUAUGAACGUUAUAAAAUAUUGUUGACCAUUUCAAGCAGAUGUACGAAAUGGUCCACAAAUAUCUGUAUGUAUAAGUUCUAAGACGUUUAAGGACCUAUUGGCUUCAAAUCUCCUUUUAUUGGUUUGUUUCCCCUUUAUACAGUUAAUACAAUCAUUAAAAUCUGUAAAAUUCAAGGAGCCGAGAAUUUCAUUUGACACAAGCCUUUCCAUUCUUCGUUUGGAGAUAUGUCCCAAUCUCUUGUGCCAUAAUGCAGCUGAAUUCUCAUUGGCUAAUUUUCUUUUAACUCCUCUAGUACUCAAAUACAGAAAUUCAUUAAAUGAGGCAAUCGUAUCAAUUAAAUAUAGAUUAUCGUAAUGCAUUAAAGAAUCAGAACCAACCAAUUUUGAAUAAUGAAACAAUUCAAAAUUUUCAUUUCCAAAUGAACAAAAAUAAUCAAAUUUGUCCAAAGCAGAAAUAGAAAUUAAAUUCCGUCGAAAAGACGGUACAAUAAAUGUCUCAUUGAGAUCCAAAUAAAAUCCGGUCUUUAACAAUAAUCUAAAAACUCCAAUUACCUCAACUUGAACUGUUUUGCCAUCGCCCAUGUAGAUAUAUCUUUCAUUAUCGUUAGGUUUUCGGCAAUUCAGACAACCCUGCAUAGACACACUGAUGUGAGUUGUUGCACCAGAAUCUAACCACCAUGUGUGUCUAGGUACCGAGGUUAAAUUAAUCUCAAAAUAAACCAAAUUAAGAAGCAUACAUUUUUUAGCACGCCAAGCGUGAUAGUUGGUGCAAUACUUCUUUUGAUGCCCUUCAGCUCCACAGAAGAAACAACUAUUUUUUUCCUGAUCAUUUGAUUUCUUUUGUUGUUUCUUUUGUGGUGCUGUACCUGCAGCUCCUUUUUCCUUCUUUCUUUUAAAUUCCUUAUUUUUAUUAUUAGUGGUUGACACCAGAUGGACACUUUCUGUCUGCUCUUGCUUUAACAUUUUCUCUUUCUCUACACAGUGUGAGAUGAGUUCAUUUAGAGACCAAAUCUCCUUUUGACAGUUGUAACUCACCUUAAACUGGCUAAACUGUGUAGGAAGAGAUAUUAAAAUCAAAUGUACUAGUAACUCUUCAGAGAGUUUUAACUUAAGCGCAUUUAAUUUCGAAACAAGAUGAGACAUCUCCAUGAUAUACUCUCUGAUAUUGGAUUUACCACUAUAUUUCAUUGAAACUAGGCGUGUCAAGAGCGUACUAACUUUAGCCUUUUCGUUCUUGACAAACCUUUUUUCAAUGUCCUGAAGGAACUCUUUAGCGGUUACAGUCGUUUCUGACAUUGUUCCCCUGAAUGAUUCUGGAAUGGCCUUUUUAAUGAUCAUCAGACACAGCCGAUUUGAUCUCUCCCACUUCUUAUUAUUUCUCUUUUCAUCAGAGGUACUCUAGGGGAGAAUCAUCCCUUAACGCAAGGUCGAGAUCCAUUACUCCAAGUACUAUCAAGAGGUUUUCUUUCUAGAACUUGAAGUUUGUGCCAUUCAGCAUAGGAAUGUUAUUGAUGUUGGCAGUAAUAUUUGUAACAUCAUUUGCAAUUGUACAGAAAACAUAAUAUAAUUAAAACAAUGCUCACAUAAAUCAAAAUAAUAAUAAAUUUAAAUAAUGGUAACCCCAUCUCAAGAUAUCGAUAUUCCAUUAAUAUUUUAUUUUUGGACAAAAUAUUAACUUCUAAGUGAUAUCUUGGCGCAGUAAUAAACACUGACAAUAAUCACAUGUCAAAAAAUAAAUUUUUCUUUGGGCCAAUUUAUAAUUCACAUGUAAAAAAUCGAAUAAUUAUCACAUGUUUAUUACCACAAGUGCACAAGUAAUUUCAUUAAAUAUUGACCUUCUUUUGGCCCGAUCAAUAUUCAUAAAAUUACCAGUACCCAACUAAUUAUAUUUUAAAAUAAAUUAAUUUCCAUAAUAGAGGUCACUUUGGUGGCAUAUUAGUUCAAUUAAUUUAUUCCAAAAUAUAUAUAAUCAUACCAAUAUUCAAAUUUAAAAUUAUCCAAAUUAAAUAAAAAUUUUGAUCAAAGUCAACUUUGGUCAACUUUGAUCAAAACGUGGUCAAACAUGAUCAAAUCAAUCAAAUUAAAUCAUGACCUAUUGGACCAAAGGUCCAUAUCCAUAAUUUGACCCAAAAUUAACAUUCAAGCUCAAAAAUUUCCUUGAAAUCCAUAAGUACUUUAUAAAAACUACAAAUUUAAUGGGCCACACAUAUGGAUUUUAUAGGGCUUAAAUAUCAUAUUUAACUUUAUUAGGGUUCACUUAAAGUAAAUAAACCCUAAUUUUCUUAAUAUAAAUAUAGACAUAUUUAUCCAUAAAUAAAGAAACAGGUCAAAGAGCUCAAGUAUUAACCAAAUUAAUAUUAUGGACAAAAGUUAAAACUCAAGAUAUUCCUUGUCAAUUUUAAUUCUUAAAAUCAGGGAAAAGGAUGAAAGACCUCCCGAAGCCAGAAGACAAAUUAAUUUACAUCAUCCAAAACAUGCAGAUCCCACAAAUAUUAUGCUAUCCAACGGAGAGUUUCACAGAAUUGAUUCAUGCAUUCUUUCUUAUCAAUUUUGAUCCUUAAAAAUAGAGAAAUUAAAGGAAACCCCAUGUCUGCCAUGUGAGAAACCAAAACAGAAGCCGAAACAUGAGUUACCACAGAACAUGACUAGCAAAGGAUCUUGACUAAAAUGGACCCACUGAAUUUCAUGUCAUCAAUGCUAUGAGUCAAUGGCAUGAAUAACAUAUAGCAAUCAAUCUGGAUUCAUAUCAUGCCAUUCAUCAUGCGGCCGACAGAUGCAUUUAUAGUCAAAAUUCAAAACAGCCACGAUGCACCCAGAAUUUUCUUGUUUAAUGGCAUAUAUGCAUAAAUAUCAAAACCGAAUUCACCAGACCAAAAAAAAUAUGUAUGUUGAUACAUAAAUUACUAAAUCCAAAUUAUUUCUCAAUAAUCAACCAUAUGGGCUCUGAUGCCACUUGUUAGGGUGGUUAUCUAAAUUUAACCACUGGUGAAAACCAUCACCUUUAAACCCAAGAUCUGUAUGGCGAUUAUUAAGAAAUACAUUAACUGUAAAAUAGCGGAAGCGUACCUGAAUCCAUAUUGAUAAACUUGAUACUUGAAUCCCUAGAGAUUCGGGGUGGCCUUCCAGGUCAACAGGUAUUCACCGAUCCUUUGAGAGAGGCCUUUAGUUUCUCUCUAGUAUCUUUCCUGAUGAUGGGAUAUCAGGGAAGAACUAUUUUGUGGUAUUAGGGAAUACGACAACUAGAAUGAUACCUGUGACUUGAGGACCAUAACCCUAUUUAUAGGUAACAUUCUUGUUACCUUUUGGAGCCCUAUUUCAACCCAUCAUUGAAAUAGGAGCCCAUAAGUUUCUACACAUUAAAGGGCCCACAUCCUAUUAGAUACAUUAAACCCAAACUAUAUUUGAUCACUUUAAUUGGAUUUAACCUUAAUUGACAGUUUGCAAUAUAUAAUUAUUUACAUAUAAGUCCAAUGUUGGAUUAAGGAUCCAACAGCUGAAGUAAGAAAAAGUAAAAGAACCGAGGAAAGGAAGCUUCGGGCAGUGACGGGCGGGGCUGGAGAAAAGAAGGAAGAGAAAAGAAACCGAGAAGAAAGGAUUUCGGGGAAAGCAAAGGCAGUGAAACAGGUAAUCUUCAAUCUUUUUUCUUGUUCGCUUCAAGCUCUAAACAGUACCAGAUCUGUUAAACUAAAACCUGGUUUUGGUUUAUUUGUUGGGUCUCUGCUAAACCAAUAUGCAUCAACAUUGCGUCUGAUUUGGUUGGAACUGAAUGCUCAUGGUUGCUGUUUUCUUGUUGUUUCUCCCUCUUUUCCUCCCGUUCAUUCUUUGACCAAGGAUCUGUUCCCUUUUCUGCGUAGCUUAGUCGAGUUUCUUUUCGGUCAAUAUGCUGGGGUUGGGAUGUGAAUAACGAAUAGUUGAAGGUUGUGAAAAAUAGCGGCUGGAAAGUUGCAGAAAUUUUCAGAUUUCGCAUGCCCUUUUCCUAUGAAUUUUGUGUGUAAACAUAAGAGUUUUUAUGGUCAUAAAGUGGAAAGAAUGCUUGGUGAACUUGUUACUUUGGCCCAAGUUGUUGUUGGUUGAGCCGUUAGUAAUGUUUGGAUAGAAAAGAUUGCAUUCAGAAACCCAGAAAUUGCAGAAACUCUCGGAUACAGGAAGAAGAAAGCUUCCUUGGAAGCUUGCAUGGAAUAUUUCCAAAAAUCACGCUUUAACCCCUUAAUUUUUGUAUAAUAUCGCUAUGGCCUGAAAUUUGAGAAAAAUAAAACCAGUUUUGUCCCUUUGAAUUUUGAAUUGCCUUGGCAUACUUUAAUAUGAUUAUUGGACAGAAUAUGCAUGAGUUUUGGGAUGAAAUUUGAAGGUUUAAUAACUUUUGAUAAAUUUAUAGUUUUGAUUUGGAUUUUUAGCGGAUCAUAGCAAAUGGGUCUUCAUUCAUGUUUUUUGUGAAUUUUAGCAUUUAGUUUUGGUAGAUUUUAUCUUAAGCCAUUAAUUUUAAUCUGCUUUAAUUUAGACCCCUAAUAUUUGUAAUAAUAAUAAUUUGACCCUCAAACUUCUUUAAUUCUUUUAAUUGGGUCCUUGUUUGUCUUAAUUUGUUGAAUCUAGGUUGUUUACCUUCAUUUGAAUGCUUUGAUUGAUCCAAUCUCAUGUUUAUUUUCAUUUCUUAUGAUUAUUUGUUAAUUAAAGUGAUGCCUUGACCUUUUUCUUCGUUUUGGAGGGUAAAUGAAGGAAAAUUUCAUUCCAUUAGGUCACCAAUUCAAGGGAGGUACACUCUACUCUUUAUUUCGAUUUUACUUGAAACUAUGUGCUUCUAUGUGAGUUUAUGUGUGUAAUUGCAUGCUCCUUUUGAAUGUUUUUAUUUCAUUUAUUUAUUUAUUCGCUUUAUUUGUUUUAAUUUUGUAUAUUUAUUUUUAAUUUAAUUUUUAGUUAUUUGAGAGGCAUUUAAAUGCCAAAUUGUAAUAGUUAGAUUAUUAUUUUAUCUUAUUUCAUUUUUCCCCCUUAGAUUGUAGUUAGGGCCCCUAAUGUAAUAGUUAGGUUUCUAUUUGCUUUGUGUGUUUUGCAUGCUUGUGUGUUACGUGUUACUCGCUUUCUUAGGGUCUUGCAUCUAUAUAUCAUGCUUAUGUGCUAUGUGUUUUAUAUGAUAUUAUGUGUUUACUUGUUUUAUUAUGUUUUAUAUGAUUUGUUUAGUUAUAAUAAAAUGCAUGAUGUCACCACACUAGUCCAACGCUAGUUGUGGCCUCUUUCUCGUCACCACACUAGUCCAACGCUAGUGAGGACUCAUAGACAUGGGUUAGUCCAAUGCUAGACCCUUAGAAACCAUCCACACGCUAGAUCAUGUUUGUGUGACGAUCACUACAUUUUCACGCAUAUUUUCUACUUUUUAGGGUUUUUAUCAUUUCGCAUGAUAUUCCCCUAUAUAUAUAUCCCUUAUCCCAUAUUUUCCGUAUAUGUAUUCCUUAUCUCAUACUUUUCCUAUAUGUAUGUGUCCUUUAUCCCCAUGUUUGAGAUAUGACAUUAGACUUGCAUUUCAUUUAAGAAACGUUAGGAGUAGAUUAGUGCAUUUGCUUGAUUCAAUUAGGGAAAUAACCCUUCAAAUAUGGGAUAUGGACGAGUAUGACUCUCUAGCCUUAGCACGCUCGUAUUCCCUCUAUAAAAAGGAAAAAUCUAGUCGUGAAUCUUAGUUCUCCGCACCUGUUAUGAUGCAUUCCUUUAGGUCAUAUAUUUGUAUAUUAUUAUUUUCUUUUCUUUUCUUAGAGUCUCAUAUUUUUGCAUAUUUGUGACAUCUUCAAAGAAUCACUCUUGGGCAUCACAAUUAAUGUGAUUGGCACCAAUUAAGUUUUGAAGAGAUAUUCCAACCCCCCGAUAUCCUUCUAGGUUAGGAUUGCAUUCAUAUAGUGAUAUUCAAAUGUGAUAAAUUUUUAGCUUAUAUUAAGAAAAACUUUGACUAAAUCACGCAACUAACCUUAGUUAGGUUGAGAGGGUGUCUUGGAUUUUAUCCCUGCCUUCCCUUUGUUCAACCGUGACUUCCGAACCUUUUUCUCUGAUUUGCGUAGACUUGGAGUCGUUUAAAAAGGGUUUUCUCUACUUUUUAUCUAAAAUUUAUUUUUAAAUGACUUGGUACACCUUAAUUCAAUACCAAGUGGCGACUCCUAUUUUUCAUUAAAAACCCUUUUUAAACUAUUAUGUUGGGUCUAAAUCAUCGCAUUUUUUAAGUCCCAUUUAGACCCAUUUUCUUUAUUUAUUUUCUAAAAAUCAAAAAUCCAUUUUCACUUAAAAAUUAAUCAAAAAUUCAUUUUUCAUUUAAAAAUAUGGGACACGACAAACCUAUUACGAGGACACCCACCAUAAUUGCCAUCCCUAUGUAUAGUGUUUUUAUCUAGUACUAGGAUAUGGUUCAACAUUUGAUUACCAUGCUGUGUUAGGACAUGCAGUUUGAGAGUGGUUUAUAUUAGAUUUGUUCCACAAUUCAUAUUUCAGUUUGUUGGAUCUACUGAAACGGUAUUUAUCAACAAAAAUAUCUUCUAAAUUAAUGUAGGAUAGUGAGUAAUUAAAUCCAAUUAAUGUGGGAAGAAAGUGUAAGUGAGAGAUCCGGGUUCGAAAUCUCUUGCUUACGUAAAAAAAAAAUCCAACUAAAGCUAUUUGCUGUUUGUUCAGUGUAUUGCUUACCAAGAAGCUUGCCCAAGCCGAACAAGCAUUUUAGCCCAUGUAGUUGACCUGCUCUUUCAGCCCAAUAGGCUCGACCAAUUAGUCCCAAUACGUUAACCCAUGAUACAUUUCCAAUGCCUACAUAACCCCUUUGGCGAAUCAUUUUACCCAUGCAGCUUUUACCAUGGCAAUAAGAGAUUUACUCUGCAUUUUUUUUAUUCGUCUUAGAUUUCAUUAUUUGCGAAACUGCAACUCAUUUGGUUUUACAGACAAAAUUAACUACAGAGAAUGCUGGAGUUGUGUUUCAAAAUUGAGAAAAUAAAGGCGAGGCAGGUAUCUAACAUAUUUGUUCCUUUUGCUUACAUUAACCUGCUUGCAUAUGCUACUUACUAAUUCUAUCUGAUUUUUUUCUGAAGUUUCAUUUUGAAUGGGGCCUUUAUCUGCAAUUCUAUAUAGAGGAGUUUUUGUACCUCGGAUAUUACAAGACAUAUUGGAACCAACCAUGCAGCUGUUGGUUAAAGACGCGAAAUUUUCAAAAGAAACUUUGUACUUUAUAUUGCUUUAUUUAGAAAUUUCUUGUGACAGCACAAAAGGCUCCUUUUGGCAGCAUUUUAAGAUUCAAGAUCCAUCAUUCUUGCAAUCUUGCCUUCUUCACCAAAUGAGGCUGAUAAUAACAUUAACGGAUGGGUCUUAAUAAACUAUGACUCCAUUGGUUAUAUAUAUAUAUAUAUAUAUAUAUACACACACGUACACAAGAUCAUUUCAUUCAAUAAAAUUUGCACUAAUGGCAGAAAAUACAUCAAACAUAUAUGAUACAAAUACAUAAAUCUGAAAUCAAUAGAUACAACAGAUCUAAGAAAUCAAUACAAAUAUAUAUUAACAUUGAUGCUACUAGAUAUCUUCCAUUUAAACGAAUUAUUGUAGUUCAAUACAUCUGUGUAUAUCUUUUGAUAGUCAGAUCAGAAUAAAACUAUUAUAAGUCCAAAGAAAAAUUUAGAUCUUACAAUAAUAAAGAAAUUGCAAAUCUAAAAAACUAGAUUCUAGAUCUAUAAAAUUUCAGAUUUCACAAAAAAAGAUAAAAAACUAAAAAAAAAAACUCUCAUGAGAAAAAAUCCAAAAGAAAAUAAAACUCUCACUAAAACAAUUUAGGAAAGAAGAAAUUCUCACUAUGAGAACUUAGAAGAGAAGUAUAAUUUACUAAUAAAUCGUAAGAGAGAAUUUAUUCAAAACAAGAGAAACUAAAACGAGAGAGUGUGCUUCCUUUCAUGGGUAAAGAUUAGAUCACUCUUCCAUGGAAGAGAUAAAGAGGAUUUUGACCAGAAGAGUUUUAGAGAAAAGAGUUCUAGAGAGUGAGGAAAAGAGCGACUGUAUAAAUCCAUUGGCUUUUGAACAUGUAAUAUAGAAGUCAUUCAUGCUUAUUUAACUUCAAAUUGUCAAUCUCAUUGCCUUAAUCAACUCCAUGCUUUAUGUUUGAAUGCCACUUAAUUGGGAUACAAAAUAAAGGUUACAUUAUGAUGGGCGAUGGCUUUGCAUAGCGCAAGGAUCCCCACCUAGUAUAUCCUGUUGAAUGUGGCGUUGUCCCACAUCGGACAAAGCCAGAGGAAGACGGCUCAUCAGGGCCUAUAAAUAUAUGGCCUUGGUGGUGAAGACAUUUGCACCACUCAAGAGAGUUAUAUGGGCUAUUAGCUUCUUGAGUCAUCUAGCCCAUUCACUUAAAUAUUUUAGGCUCUCUUGUUUUGAGUUUAGGAAUUUUUCCUAAACCUUUUGUAAGUGCCUAUUGGCCUAAGAACCACUUUCCUACGGCUUUUGUAUUUCUUCUUCAUAGUAGAAAUAUUGCUCCUCCCUCGCCCGUGGACGUAGGUCAAUUUGACCGAACCACGUAAAUCUUUUGUGUCUUUUAUUUGCUUUGUUAUCCGUCUUUAUAUGGUCGGUUUUACCGUCUAAUUAUUAUAUGGCUGGUAUCUACCGCCUAUCUAUUAUAUGGUCGGUUAUACCGCCUAUUUUGUGCUAACUUGAGUUUGUCUAUUUCCUGGCCCGGUCCUAACAAACUGGUAUCAGAGCUGGUUGUUAUAUUUUGCAAGACAGGUUCAUCUGGUGGGGUCCGUUUAUCCGUGGAGCCCGCUCACCUUGUGGGGUCCGUUCAUCCCCGUGGGGCCCGCUUAUCUCGUGGGGUCCACUCACCCUGUGGGGCCCGCUCACGAGACUUGCAUAUUUGUUUGGCCAGUUUUUUGAGACAAAUUUCAAGUUACAGAUUUUGUGGCAACAAUGACGAUAACAAAGACGGUUGUCGAGAAAUUCGACAAGAAUGUCAACUUCGGCAUGUGGCAGCUCAAGAUGGAGGCCAUUCUUGUUCAAGACGGAGUUGAUUUGGCAAUUCAAGGAAUUGAGAAAAAGCCAGAAGAUGUGACAGAUGCAAAUUUUGCUGAGAUGGAUAAGAAGACAAGAUCCAGUAUUAUCCUAAAUCUCUCCGAUGAGGUAUUGCGUGAGGUAGCAACGGAGACUUCGGCCAAGGUUAUGUGGGAUAAAUUGAAAGCCUUGUAUAUGAAGAAGACAGUCGAGAAUCGGCUAUAUCUGAAACAGAGUUUGUAUAUGCUUCGGAUGUCUGAAGGUACAUCUAUACUUUCCCAUCUUGAUAAAUUUGAUUCCAUUAUUAUGGAUUUGGAGAAUAUAGAUUCGAAAAUUGAUGAUGAAGAUCAGGACCUAUUACUUUUGUGUUCCCUUCCCCAAUCUUUUAAGCAUUUCCGUGAUACUAUGAUAUAUGGAAAGGAAACAAUUUCGUAUUGGGAAAUUAAAUCUGCAUUAAAAUCUAAAGAGCAGAUAGAUAGGGAUAUUACUGGGGAAACUAGUGGGAGUCAAGCCGAUGGCUUGUUUGUUCGGGGUAGAUCUGAAAGGAGAAACACAGAAAAUAGAAGUAGAUUUAAGUCCAGACAUAAAAAUGUGGUGUGCAACUAUUGUAAAAAGAAGGGCCAUAUUAUCUCUGAUUGCUUUAAAUUGAAAAAUAAAGAAAAGCAAAAGGAGAAAAGGAGUGAAACCACCGAGGCUAGUAUUGCUGUUGAUGAGAAUGAUGGAACUAUUUUCUGUGCAACAGAAAAUAAAUUUAGGUCUAACAAUGAGUGGAUUUUAGAUUCGGGUUGUUCAUAUCAUAUGUGUCCCAAUAGGGACUGGUUUUCAACAUAUGAACCAACUGAAGGUGGAGUUGUCUUAAUGGGCAACAACGCUGUUUGUAAAGUUGUUGGCAAAGGUACAAUCCAGAUUAAAAUGUACGAUGGUAUUGUGAGGACGCUCACAAAUGUUAGACAUGUUCCAGAUUUGAAGAAAAAUCUCAUCUCUUUGGGCACUCUUGAGUCUAUCGGGUGCAGGUAUUCAGGUGGAGAUGGAGUUCUCAAAAUCACUCGAGGAGCUCUUGUUGUUAUGAAGGCACACAGAUCUGGUACUUUGUAUAUUUUGCAGGGAUCUACUGUGACAGGUGCUGCUGCUGUUUCAACAUCAUUUUUGUCAGAUACAGACAUCACCAAACUAUGGCAUAUGCGUUUGGGGCACAUGAGCGAAAAAGGCUUGGGCAUAUUAAGUAAAAGAGGACUUCUUUGUGGACAAAGUACAGGUCCAUUGGAAUUCUGUGAACAUUGUAUUUUUGGGAAGCAGAAAAGAGUCAGCUUCAGUUCACCAGCAAUUCACAAGACAAAAGGUACUCUUGAUUACAUUCAUUCAGAUCUAUGGGGUCCUUCUCGUGCUCCUUCUAAAGGUGGUGCCAGGUACAUGUUGACUUUCAUUGAUGACUAUUCAAGGAAAGUUUGGGUCUAUUUUCUUAAGCAUAAAAAUGAUGUUUUCCUAACUUUCAAGCAAUGGAAAGUUUUGAUUGAGAAACAAGCAGGAAAACAUGUUAAGCGGUUGAGAACAGAUAAUGGCAUGGAAUUUUGUGGAGGUGAAUUUAAUGAAUUUUAUAAAAAUGAAGGAAUUGUUCGGCAUCACACCGUCAGGAUGACGCCUCAACAAAAUGGUGUGGCUGAAUGUAUGAACAGAACGCUUUUGGAGAGAGCAAGAUGUAUGAUCUCAAAUGCAGGGUUGACAAACGACUUUUGGGCAGAGGCGAUCAAUAUGGCCUGUUAUAUUGUCAACCGUUCUCCUUCUGCAUCUCUUGAUUUCAAAACUCCUGAGGAAGUUUGGUCAGGUACUCCUGCUGAUUACUCAAAUUUAAAAGUUUUUGGGUGUCCAGCAUACAUGCACGUGAAUGAUGGAAAAUUGGAGCCUAGGGCUAAAAAGUGCAUUUUUCUUGGGUAUGCUUCUGGGGUGAAAGGAUACAGAUUAUGGUGUCCUGAUCCCAAAUCCCCAAAAUUUGUAAUCAGUAGAGAUGUUACUUUUGAUUAAUUGUCUAUGUUAUCUUCCAAGAAGGAGUCUUCUAGUCCUUGUACUACUGAUAGUACACAGAAGCAGGUGGAGCUUGAUAUUGGCAGUUCUGGUCCUUCUCAAUCCAAAUCUUCUAUUCAGCAAGUGCCAGUAGAUGCACUUGAAUCUACUAUUGAAGAUAGUUCAAAAGAAGAGGAGUAUUCCAUAGCCAGAGAUAGACAAAGGAGAGAUAUUCGACCACCACAAAGAUAUGCAAAUUUAGUUGCAUAUGCUUUAUCUGUUGCAGAAGAAACUGAUGCAGCUGGUGAGCCUUCUACCUAUUCAGAAGCAGUUUCUUGUGAUGAUUCUACAAAGUGGUUGAUUGCGAUGAAUGAAGAAAUUGAAUCUCUUCAUCAGAAUGAAACUUGGGUUCUUAUAAAGCCACCGUCAGCUAAGAAAAUUGUUGGUUGCAAGUGGGUCUUCAAGAAAAAGGAAGGUAUUCCAGGGGUUGAAGAUGCAAGGUAUAAAGCACGAUUAGUUGCAAAGGGCUAUAGUCAGGUACAAGGUGUUGAUUUUAAUGAUAUAUUCUCACCUGUUGUUAAACAUAGCUCUAUUCGUGUUUUGCUUGCUUUAGUUGCCAUGUAUGAUUUGGAGUUAGAGCAGCUUGAUGUUAAGACAGUGUUCUUGCAUGGCGAACUUGAAGAACAAAUUUAUAUGAGACAACCCCAGGGUUUUGAAAUUGAAAGUAAGGAAGACCAUGUUUGCUUGUUGAGGAAAUCCUUAUAUGGAUUGAAGCAGUCUCCAAGACAAUGGUAUAAAAGGUUUGAUUCCUUUAUGUUGGGUCAUGAUUAUUUGAGGAGCAUGUAUGAUAGUUGUGUUUACUUCCGGAAGUUAAAUGAUGGUUCUUUCAUUUACUUAUUGUUAUAUGUUGAUGACAUGCUCAUUGCUGCCAAGAAUUUGUCAGAAAUUCACACUUUGAAACUGCAGUUAAAUAGUGAAUUUGAAAUGAAAGAUUUAGGAGCAGCUAAGAAAAUUCUUGGCAUGAAUAUCAAUCGAGAUCGAGUAGUAGGGAAGUUAUUUUUGACCCAGAAAAAUUACCUUGAGAAAGUCUUGGAGCGUUUUGGCAUGAAAGAUGCUAAACCAGUAUCUACUCCUCUUGCCAGCCAUUUUCGGCUAUCUGCUGCUCAAUCACCAAAAUCAGAUGAAGAGGAAGAUUAUAUGGCACGGGUUCCUUAUUCCAGUACAGUCGGCAGUAUUAUAUAUGCAAUGGUUUGUACUCGUCCAGAUAUUGCACAAGCAGUCAGUGUUGUUAGCAGAUAUAUGUCUUGCCCUGGUAAAACACAUUGGCAGGCUGUGAAGUGGAUUCUCAGAUACUUGCGAGGUACUUCAAAUGCAUGUUUGGAGUUUGGAAGAAAUAAUAAUACUUUGGUUGGUUUUGUAGACUCAGACUACGCUGGAGAUCUUGACAGGAGAAGAUCACUUUCAGGCUAUGUAUUUUGCAUUGGCGGUUGUGCUGUUAGUUGGAAAGCUACUCUACAACCUGUCGUAACUUUGUCUACUACAGAAGCAGAAUAUAUGGCUGUGACCGAGGCAAUCAAAGAAGCCUUGUGGUUGAAGAGUUUAUUUAGCGAGUUAAGUCUAUAUCAAGGUGUUACUGAUAUUCACUGUGAUAGUCAAAGUGCCAUACACUUGACUAAAGAUCAGAUGUAUCAUGAGAGGAUGAAACACAUUGAUGUGAAAUAUCAUUUCAUUCGGGAUAUCAUUGCUGAAGGAAAGGUCCUUAUUCAGAAAAUCAAUACUAAGGACAAUCCAACCGAUAUGUUUACAAAACCUCUUCCACUUUACAAGUUCAAGCAGUGCUUGGAUUUGGUUGGUGUUCAUUGUUCGUGAUUUCGGCCCAUUGGGGCUUAUGUAGCGAAGGUGGAGAAGAUUUGUCGAUGUUGGGACCAUGCCAAGGUGGAGAUUUGUUGAAUGUGGCGUUUGUCCCACAUCGGACAAAGCCAGAGGAAGACGGCUCAUCAGGGCCUAUAAAUAUAUGGCCUUGGUGGUGAAGACAUUUGCACCACUCAAGAGAGUUAUAUGGGCUAUUAGCUUCUUGAGUCAUCUAGCCCAUUCAGUUAAAUAUUUUAGGCUCUCUUGUUUUGAGUUUAGGAAUUUUUCCUAAACCUUUUGUAAGUGCCUAUUGGCCUAGGAACCACUUUCCUACGGCUUUUGUAUUUCUUCUUCAUAGUAGAAAUAUUGCUCCUCCCUCGCCCGUGGACGUAGGUCAAUUUGACCGAACCACGUAAAUCUUUUGUGUCUUUUAUUUGCUUUGUUAUCCGUCUUUAUAUGGUCGGUUUUACCGCCUAAUUAUUAUAUGGCUGGUAUCUACCGCCUAUCUAUUAUAUGGUCGGUUAUACCGCCUACUUUGUGCUAACUUGAGUUUGUCUAUUUCCUGGCCCGGUCCUAACAUAUCCAAACGUUGUAGUGUUUGGAAACAGUAAUUUGGUUUGAUCUAGAAACAGCAGACUCUCAAAUCAAAUAAAAUAGUGAAUCAUGGCGGCUAUAGCAGCAAUUAGAUUCCUAGAAGAGGGGCAUUUAUAUCUCCUGUACGGGUGCCCACAUAAUAGUUUUUGUCUUUGUCAACAUAAUAAGGUAGAAAGAAACUUGGACUACACUACUUACUAUAGGUAUUGUACAUGGUAAUGAUUUAAUCGCAAGUAUGGUCUAAAAUUAUUUUUGUUGCAAGCAUUGGAAUAUCCUUAUUUUCAGAUUUGUAUUAAUGGAUUUGUAGAUUGCCACCAAAGUUUGGAGAAUUGAGAGUUUCUUUUUCAUCCAUAUUUGGAUCAAUGUUCUUAUUAAUUAGUAAACUCUAAUUACCAAAACUAUUGCUUUUAGCACAACAAAAAAGUAUGAAUUUCAUAGCAUUGGAACCACGUUGCGUUCCGAACAUUCGUAGGAGUAGAGCUUCUUUAGCUUGUUAGGCAGUAGUUGGUUGCUGUCUCUCUUUGUACUCUUUUCAGUUCAUAAAUAAAGAUUAAAGUUAAAAAAAAAAAAAAAACCACGUUGACUUUGUUUUUAAUUAUCAUGCUCUGAGCAUUUCUUCAUUUGUUACUGAAAUAUACGUUUAGAUUGUAUUUUCCGUUAUUUUUCAUGGAAAAAUUACUGUAGUGAUUUGGUGUAUGUGAGGAAAAAAGGUAAUAAAAAAAUGUGAUCACGAAAAAUGACGUAAUUUUCUGACAGAAAAUAGCAAUUCAACGUGAUCAGUUUCGAUUUAGUAACUAAAACUAAGUGAAGUAAACGGACCCUUGUUUCAAAGUCAACAAAUGACACAGGGAUAAUUUUUCCAUCCAUGCUCGUAAGAGCAUUCUUUACUUAUUAAACCGAAUCCUAUGACUCCCAACCAAUAUUUUUUGACUCAAAAAAAUAUUCAAAUCAAGCGUCAUUGGUCAAUUGUUGGGCCAACCGUAGUUGGUCCUAAUUAACAUGUGUUAGCAUAUAUGUAGCAAAAAUAUUAAAGUAUAUGAUUUAACUCUGUUGUUUAAAUUAAUUAUAUGACUUUUCAUCCCACUCAAAUAGCUGAUAUUAUUUGAAACUUAACCAAAUUUUUCAUGGAUUAAAAUGGGGACACAUUAAUUGAAAAUUGGGUUUUUCUAACGAUUGUCCUAUGGGUACUCCUUAACACAUCUACAUUCUACUUAACCUACCAUAUAUUUACACACACUAACAAUUACUAUUUUUUCUUACAUAUAUACAUUUUUCCUAAUUAAUCCCCUCUUAUUUAUACGCUUUUCCUAAUUAAUUUUAUAUAUUUAAAGAUUUAACAUCUGAAAUACAUCUUAACGAGUGCCUUAUGGGCAAAUUUAUGAGCAAGGUGCAGAUUUAUGAGAGAGAUUAGGUAUAAAGAUAUUAAAUGUUAAGUACCUUGUCUAGUUAAUGGGAGAAAGUUACCUUAUCCAUUAUUGCAAUUUGGGUUGUCACUCAAUGAGAAAAUUAAUCAAAUUUGAAAUGUAGCAUUCAUUAUGGAGGCCACAUUAAACCAACCCGGUUCUCUUUUUAUUGGACCACUUCAACGGGUCAAUGCUCAAACCGUCCAAUUUCAAUAGGUUACCAGUAACCAAGUUUUUAACCCUUAGGUUGAGGGGCUACGGAACCUAUACAGCCAGCCCAUUUGGUGGGUUUUCCUUAUUCAACCGGGCAAUCCAGGCUGCAGGUUGGCUCCCAACUCAUUUUCUAAUUAAUUUGUCUUUAAUGGGACUGGAUGCGUCUCCAUUACGCCCAAACAAAUUGAAGUUGUAUUUUGUUUGAAAAAAUAAUCGUCUGUAAUAUACUUCAUUACUUGUUUUGGUUAUUCACAUUCACAUAGUUUGCAAAAACUGACCAGAUUUUCAUGCUUUAUCAAUUAUUACCAAUUUUACUAUGAUAUUGACCUGCUUUCCACCAUGCAAACUUUCCUACAAAUUAAAUUAUAAAGCACUUCUAACGAAUUUUAUUUUUGAGUACGUUUUAUCUACUCACUGAAGCACAAAGAAUGGCACAUCAGAUGAUAUAAAAAGAUGAUUAAAUGAAUAUGAAUUAUUAAUUAGCAAUUUGAAAGAAAAGUAAUGAAAGGAGCCCAAAGUACUGGGCUCUUUUUUUUUUCCCCUCGUAUCCCCCCACUCUAGCAAUUAAACAACUAAUAAAACAAAUCCAUGAUACUUCUUAAUUUCCGUUUGGAAUUGCAAUGACUUAUAAAAAAGCACUUCUAACACAAGUGCUUUUAAGAUACGAAAAGCUGGACUCCUUAGGCUAAUUACUCAGAAUAUUGUUAAAAAAAGGAAAACUCAGACGUUUAUGGGUUUGACAAUGAUUCACUGCAAAUCUAUGGCUGCCGGGCUGUGUCUGCCCGGCAGCAAAAAAGGCAAAUCUUUUUUUUUUAAGCUCUGACACCGCUACCGGGCUGACAAGCGAAUAUUUUUUUUUUAUAUAAAGUUGCUGGCUACCGGGCCUGGUCAGCCGGCAGCCGACAGAAUAAACAUUUGCAGCUUUGAAAGGGUUGCAUGUUCUCUCGCUUUACAAGGGAAAGCCCUUUCUUCACGUAGACAAGAAUAAAACAUUAUUAAAACAUUUGCCUACGUGAAAAAAAUUUGCAUGUUCUCUCGCUUCAUUUGUAGCUUUCAAUCAAAGGGAAUAAAAACAUGCAGCCACGUGAGAAAGGGUUUUCCAUUGUAAAUAAAUUUUUCCCUCCCUUUGAUUACCAUUACUAAAACAUUUAUUCAAUUUGCAUCUAAAUUUAUCAAAUAGGGAAUAAAAUCAAAAAAGGCUUUUUUUCACCUUAAUCAUUCACCUUCAUAAAGCUGCGCUUAAAUAAGGGUAAUCUUCUACACGUAAAUCAUAACAUAAUAAUCAAAUAAACUUUUUUUUUUGUUGUCAUCCUACAUAAGAUCAUUUUUUUCUUAAUUUUUUAUUAUAGAAAAUUAUGUCCAUUUUGGUGGACCUUUUCUUGUUUGAUUUAUAAGUCAUUAAUGAUAUAUUUAGUUGUUUCCUUAAUAAUAACUAAUUUUCAAUAUACAUGUAUAUAUUGUAUUUUUGGUAGGAUUUUUUUUGUCUUUGUUAGUUUUGGUACAAUAUGCAUGAAUGGUACUUGUUUCCUUUUUUAGUUAAAAUUAUUUGUUAAAAUUAUUAUGAAAUUUUUGAUGUACAAUAUAAUUUUAUAAAUAUAAAUUUAUUGUGCAAUAUAAAAACAAAAUAGGCAAAAAAAUGAAAAUAAUAAAUAAUGAAAAACAAAUAAUUUAAUUAACAAAUAAUUUUUCAAUAAUUUGAGAACUGCAUCUUAUUGUAAAAUGAAUGAGAUUUUUUGUUUAAAUUUUAGUUUAACUCCUAUAGAAGUAAUUAUUGAUUUAACAAAUCUGUUUUUCAUCUUUUUCUGCUGUUCCAAUUUUGAAACGUAAUUUAAUUAACUUAAAAGACUGUCGGAUUUAGUACGUCAAGUGGCAUAAGUUUUUAAUAAAAAAAAGGGUGAAAUUGUUGUAUUGGAAAAUGGGUGAAAUUUUCAACAUUAUUUAGUGAAUUUUGUACAUGUCAAAAGAAAUAUUGUGGUAGAUUUUAUUUUUUUAAUUGAGUUUCAUAUUUGAAAUGAUUGAGGCGUAUAUAUAAAAGAAAGGGUUGGGAUAUCAAAUAUGAUUAAAAUAAAGGAAUAUGUGCAAUUUUGGUCCCCCAACGUUUGGUCUAUGAGUUAAACUAAUCUGUGAUAUUUUGACCAAAAUAAUUAUGAUAGCAAAUUUUUUAUUUUAGCCAAAUUUAGGACAACUAAUACAAAACUAUAUUUGAAUUUUUUUUUAAAAUAAAUUGAACUGGCUGCCGGGUAGCUUGGUUUAAAAGACAUCUAUUUAUUAUGUCUCAUUAUUUCCAAACUUAGGUUGUUUUUAUUCAAUUAAAUUUGGAAAUGCAAAUAUGAAAAAAAGGAAACAAGUACUAUUCAUGCAUAUUGUACCAAAACUAACAAAGACAAAAAAGAUCCUACCAAAAAUACAAUAUAUACAUGUAUAUUGAAAAUUAGUUAUUAUUAAGGAAACAACUAAAUAUAUCAUUAAUGACUUAUAAAUCAAACAAGAAAAGGUCCACCAAAAUGGACAUAAUUUUCUAUAAUAAAAAAUUAAGAAAAAAAUGAUCUUAUGUAGGAUGACAACAAAAAAAAAAGUUUAUUUGAUUAUUAUGUUAUGAUUUACGUGUAGAAGAUUACCCUUAUUUAAGCGCAGCUUUAUGAAGGAGAAUGAUUAAGGUGAAAAAAAAGCCUUUUUUGAUUUUAUUCCCUAUUUGAUAAAUUUAGAUGCAAAUUGAAUAAAUGUUUUAGUAAUGGUAAUCAAAGGGAGGGGAAAAUUUAUUUACAAUGGAAAACCCUUUCUCACUUGGCUGCAUGUUUUUAUUCCCUUUGAUUGAAAGCUACAAAUGAAGCGAGAGAACAUGCAAAUUUUUUUCACGUAGGCAAAUGUUUUAAUAAUGUUUUAUUCUUGUCUACGCGAAGAAAGGGCUUUCCCUUAUAAAGCAAGAGAACAUGCAACCCUUUCAAAGCUGCAAAUGUUUAUUCUGUCGGCUGCCGGGCAGACCAGGGCCGGUAGCCAGCAACUUUAUUAAAAAAAAAAAAAAAUUCCGUUGCUGGGUUGACACAACCCGGUAGCGGUGUCAGAGCAAAAAGAUUCGCCUUUUUUCAUAGAUUUGCAGUGAAUCCUUGUCAGACUCAUCCUUGUCAGACUCAUAAACGUCUGACUUUUUCUUUUUUCAACGAUAUUCUGAGUAAUUAGCCGACUCCUUAAGCAUCAUGUAGUAAGAGGAUUAGUUAUGAAUCCUACUGAUCAUCCCCAUGGAGGUGAGUAAAGAAGAGCUUCAAUUGAUAGGAAAAAAAACCCAUAAUCCCUUUAGGUUAUCCUGCACUUGGAAGAAGAAGUAGAAAAAGGAAUAAAUUUAGUGAUAAUUUGUUUUUUUGUCAAUGCUAUAAUAAAUAGGAGAAAAAUUAGAGUUUUUUCUUCACCUUAAAAAAAAUGAAUAAGCUAUGACACGUUUACUAAAAAAAUCCUUUUGUGGGCGAACGACGGGCUACAGUAAAUAGGAGAAAAAUUAGAGUUUUAUCUUCACCUUAAAAAAAAUGAGUGAGCUAUGAUACGUUUACUAAAACAAUCCUUUUGUGGGAAAACGACGGAACUGAACCUGCGCACAGUGGAUUGUACCCACUGAAUUCACAAUCCACUGCCUUGAUCCGCUUGGCUACAACCGUCCCUCUACUCUAUUUUUAUUUUUAUUUUAUUUUAUAUUCGAAGUUUGGAAAUUAGUCACCGAACACCUCUUAGAAGUACUUUCAGUGCUUAAGAACACUUUUUCAUGCGCCUUAUACACACGUUCACUGAUGUGCUAGCUCCAGCAAAGCCUUACUUGACAUGUAUAAUUAUAGAUAUACACCGCUUGAUAAAACUGCUAUAUAUAAUUGGACUAUCAAAGCUUAGCCCUACAACCCCUCCCUCCUCCUGAAGCCAUUCUUCAAUAUCACGAAGAAAAAAUGUCAAAAUUAUCUUUCUUGUUAUGUCUCAUUCUUGCAACAAUUUUUGUGGUCGUUGUGAACGGCUCCGAAAGUGAGGUUGGGAUCUAUGAGCUCAAGAAAGGAGAUUUUUCAUUGAAGGUGACAAACUUUGGUGCUCGGAUAAUAUCCCUCGUUCUCCCUGACAAGAACGGUACUUUUCAUUUCCUCCUUUUACAUAUACUACAAUGUUUUCAUGGUAAACUCCUAGCUGAUUCUGCACAUCUUUUUCCAACUUGUUCAGGAAAGCCCACAGAUGUUGUUCUUGGCUAUGAUUCUGUUAAAGAAUAUUUGGUGAGCAAUUUAAAAAUUUUGUACCUUCAAUUAGAUUUUUAUGGAAGUUUUCUCUUCUGAGAGGUUUGGAUGUGGAGAGGAUUAUCUUCUGCUGCACUUGACUUUCCAUCUUUAUCUCGUCAUCUUCAUUUCCCUGCAUUAUGCAGAAUUCAGGAAUGAAUAAUUUCUGUAGGGACCUUUGCUUUUUAUUUUGUUAUUAUUAUUUUUUUGGGUUUUCUCUGUCUUUAGGUCAUCCUUCAGUCUUGAGAAGUCAAAAAUGGAUGGUUUUUUGUUUUUUUUUUUUUGGUAGGGUAUAGAGGUUUAAAGAACUUGGUCACCUCGUGGGGCACAUUUGGCUUUUGAUUUUGUUUUAUUUUAUUUUUUGGUUGCCAAGAUAAAAUUGGUCACCUCGUUGGGCACAUUUGACCUUUUCUUUUGGGGUUGAACAUAUAAAGUUUCCGGACCUACUUAUACUCCCUUUCCCUUAUCAUCGAACCCAACCCUCCUUCUUAGAUUCGAAACCUUUCACUUGUAUUGAAAAACAAAAAAUCAGUAUUCAUAAUGAACAACAAUGGCUCCGAAUAUUUAGCACGAAUUCCCGACUGGAUUUUAUUUUUUAAUCUUUUCUGCUUUCUUAGCUGGAUCUUGCCCUUAAAAGAACACAUGACGAUUGUCAAUUGCAGUCUAUCUCAAGAUUCACUGGGUCUAGCUAGCAGAGACAGACCCCCGAGGGGGAUGGGGGGAGCCGCCCCCACAACUUCUAAAAAUUUGGACCUAUUUAUUUUUAAGUGAUAUUAUUUUGUCCCCAAUUUUAAGAUAAGUUAUUUUUUAUUUCCUUCUUCUUUAUUAAUGUUAGUAAACAAUCAUUAGUAGCUAAUAUAGGCUGUAUAGCUUUUGAACAGCAACUAAUUAAAGAAACAUAAUUUAUUUUUAUGUAAGUCUACAAUAAACUAACUCCUAAUGUAAGAUUGACUUGAAUUAAAAAAAAUUAGAAAACUAAUCCCAAAAUGUAAGGUUGAAUUAGAUUUAAGAGGGAAAAAAAGCAGGAGUAUUGGUUAAAAACAAAAACAAAAUGUACAGCUUUUUAAUGUGUUAUAAGUGCUUAUCAUUGCCAACUCUAUUGAGGCUUUUAAUAAUGAUGUUCUUGCUUAUAUAUUGAUCAGAUGAUAUUGUGAAAGAAAUAAUUCGAAAAAAAAUGAUAUGGGUCUGUCAUCUUGAUAGAGAUGGUUCUUCUUCGUCCGAUAUUUAUUUUAGUAUCUGGAACACGGAUUUUUAUAAGAAUAGAUUAAGAAAUAUUUGAACUAUGAUUCAAUAAUUGAUGUAUUUCAUCAAACGAAGGAAAUAAAACAUAGGCUCGCAUCCCUUGUAUUAUGAGGAAAUGAAAUGAUUAAAAAGUCUAAUUUUGAUACCUUGUCUUUUACAACUAAAAACAUCUUAUUGCUAGUUAGUGUAAAACUUUCAUUUUAAGUUUUUUUUUUAUACUUUAUAUGCUAAAAUAUUGUUUUAUUAUAUGUUUGACUAGCGGUCCCCCAACUUAAAACCCUGGGUCCAUCAUUGCUUGCUAGAUUAUGUUUUUAAAUUUGAAAAUCCUCAUUAUAAUUGUUUUGUUCCCUUUAGCUUUUGUUCUCAGCAUCUCCGCGUUGGGAAUACUUGGGAUACUUGCCUUUCUUUCUUGGGUGUGGGGAAGGGUUGAAUUUUCUUAUAGAGGCAACUCGUGAAUUGCUGCAUAGAGAUGCUUCAUCCAAUGGCCAUUAAUUUUUAGUUAAAUGUUUUGUCUAUUAUGUUGACUUGGAGGUCCUUCUUUUAAUGUUGAAAAGUACUCCCACAUCAUGAAUAGGAAAAAAAUUAAUUAUAGGGUAAAUUACUAGUAAUCUCCUUAUGAUUUUGCAUAUUAUCACGUAACUUCUCAAAUUUACUCGUGUAGUUUUAUGCAAAAUGGUAAACAGCCUCUUUAACAUCUUUAGUUAAAUGCUAGUAUAACCUUUAAUUAAAUACUAAAUAGAAUGAGGAUUUAACCACCAUGUAUGACUAUGUUAAUAUAUGUAAAAUUGCAAGAGGUCAAGUGAAUAUUUAUGCAAAUUUAUAGGAGAGCUAAGUGGACAUUAUAAUUCCAUCACAUGCAUUUUUUGAGCGCGUCUAGGUCAGUGUUAAUCAGAUAUACCUUCGAUUCAUUUUUUACUUUAUAUAAAAUUUUGGACAAUUACGUGAAUAUUUUAAAAUGUUAGCGAGUCAUAUGGCAAGUGAUUUAGUAUUUAUCAUAGUAGCUGCUACUUAUUUGGUUUAAGCCCAUGGCAUUAAGCUAUAUGUCUCAAAGCACCCGUUCGAUGUCGCUUUAGGUAGAACGAUGAUACAGACGUAUAAACUUCUGUCUGGACAUGCAAUCUUACAUCCCAUGUUUCUAUCAUUUUCGCUAACAAAUUGUUCAGUAGGCCAAUUUUCUUCCUUUAGGCCAGUUUCCUAAAAAUCCAUAAAAAUUCCCUGCAGAAUGAUACACAAUACUUUGGAGCUAUUGUUGGCCGGGUUGUUAAUCGGAUUGGUGGUGCUCAGUUCACUCUAAACGGAGUUCAUUAUAAGCUUGAUGCUAAUGAGAAACCAAACAUGCUUCAUGGUAAUUUACUCCCAGCUAUAACACAUGUAAAUUUGAGUCAUCAACUUUAACCACUGACUCUGUCUGUGGAUGCUAUGUAUCGUGAGGGAAACAGGUGGUAGAAAAGGAUUUAGCCUGCUCACUUGGAACGUGGAGAAAUAUGUGAAAGAUAGGGCCAAUCCUUUCAUUGUAUUGUCCUAUUACAGUCCUGAUGGAGAAGAAGGAUUCCCUGGAAAUCUCCUGGUUAGAGUGACCUAUGCUCUACUUGAACCAUACAAACUGAGCGUAAUAAUGGAAGCGGAAGCCCUGAACAAGGCUACUCCUGUGAAUCUAGCACAACACAGUUACUGGAAUCUUGGAGGCCAUAACAGUGGUGAUGUCCUCUCGGAUAAAGUCCAAAUAUUCGGCUUAC
rnacentral:lncRNA from 1 species